rnacentral:lncRNA from 1 species
AGAGACGGAGACCCUUCUGGCAGGACGAUCUUUGACUCAUCAUUCUCUAAAACUUUAACCACUGGCGCGAUGACACCGUCUUGCCAGAUAUGCUAAAUGCACUCUAGCCGUAGAUUCAGGACUGAUUCAAACAUAUUGUGUUAAUUGGUACUCGCAGAUGGAAAUAGUAAAACAGAGACACUGUCAACUGCUGGAUGGAUUACUUGUCUGAAGUAGAAUGUCGAUAAUACGGAAAAUUUUGUCUGAAUAAUAAGUUCAACUUGUUCAGGUCAAUCAUUACUGGUACGUGUGUGCGUGUCCAUAAAUAUCUAUAUAGCUGCACAAGCGCUCAAGGUUGUUUUGGUUUUGGCCGUGGCAGGGAGCCAUGACUAGUUUGAUAAUGGUUAGAAAAGAAAGUCAAAUUAGACACGAUAUACAGGAUGCAAAAAAGAAGAAGGUCCAGAAAACCGGUGGCAACAGUCAACUAUUGAACCCUUUUCAUCUUUUGCUCACACGAGCUUUACUCUCAUUUACACGAGCAACUGGUGUUCAAAUGGUGUAUUAGUUGAAAAAAAAAAAAAAAAAAAAAAAAGAUUAAAAACGUAUUUAUAAUACAAGUAAAAUAAUAUUUAAAAUAAUUUAUAUAUCCAAAACUCCAAACACGCCCCUUGUUUUUGCCAAAAGCCAAAAUUCUAGCACGGCAAUCCCUCCUGUUGUUUAGAAACAAAUAAUUCAAUAAUCAUAGAGGCAGAGUUCGAGCCAGGAAAGGCCAUCCUCCGUCUUCCUCAAUCCGAGAACAAAGAUUCAAAGAAACCAAUACAUUUGCCACCACAUUAGUGUUUAAGCAAAUUGCUUUGUCAGAUUGUUAUACGAAAAUUGAAAUUGCAAAUCCAAAACAUUAGUAGAGAGCCAUCCGAGAUUGUUACAAGUCAGCCAACAUUGGCAAGCGUUUUAAGCAAACAGCGGCACUCUCCAUGCUGAUGGACACUGCAAGUACUGCAGGGACCGCUGGAUCAGCAUCCUAUUUAUACAAGGCAAUCAGAAUUUUACAAAUUUGGGACUUUCGUUGGCCAAAAAGUACCUUCCCGGCUUCCCAGUUCCCACAGUACUGCAUCCCAGAAACCAAAAGAACUUGCUAGAUUGAAAAGGGUUGGUAAUAUCCUUAACCCUUUCUCGUUUCUAUAAACUACUUUACAAAGAUGAUGCGAGCAAACAGGAAACUAUCAGAAAUACAGACAUCUAAAGAGUUUCAUCAAAAUUGACUCUCCCCCCUGUGGCGAAAAAGUUCCAAAAGAGAGCAGCCGAGAAAUAGAGAAAAGCUGUAAGCAACAAGAAUCCCUUAAAAGAACCCACUAAUUCCACAAAGUAGCCGGCACCAACCGUUCCAACUAUAGCAGCAAAUGUACCAGCAGUAUUUGAUAUACCUAGAGUUUACAGAAGGGACAGAAUUAGGUAAAGAUUUUGAACAAGAAAAUUUCAUGCCUGAUUUUCAUAAAUUAAAGGAAUAAACGAGGUUUGAAGAUAUUAACAGGGAUCUUCUUUUUUAUGUUCAUUGAAGUGUUGAAAGGGGAGGGAGGCUGGCCUUGUAUACUGAGGUUAUACUCCCAUGUAGACAAUAAAUUAGAUAUCGGUAUGUAGAACUAGGAGAUUAAUAGUAGAGGAGAAUAAAGUUGAACGAGUACAAUGCAUAAAACUUUGCAAGAAAAUCAACAGAGUUACCAUGGAGGACGCCUGAAUACUGUGGUGCAAUCUCCUGACAAGGUAAUGGUACAAGAUAUAUCAGGUCUGAUGCAAAAAAACCAACUGAUCAAAUGAUGAAUUUCACGGAAUAUACUAACCUGGAGGUUCACGAGGAAGCCACAAUGACUGAAUGCUUUUAGCCCAACUGCUAAAGUAAGCCAAGCAGAUGCAUUGGAUGGACUUCUUGCCAUUGUUAGACCAACAAGAGCUAUCCCAGGUCCAAUAAAACCAAUUGACUGCAGAGGAAAAAUAAAACUUCAUACAUACUGUAAACUUGUCCCAUCUUGUUCCGUAAGGAAGUAAAAAAGUGAGGUCGAAUGACUAAAUACGAAUCACAUAUUGAACACCAUUAGUGACUAGCUCUAAAGAAGUCUGGUAGAAGUAGAACUGAAUUUAUCACUGAGGCGCAAACAAUAAAACUGAAAGAAAAGUAGAAUUUGAGAAAAAGGGAAGAAAAUAAAAAAGGAAAAGAGCAUAAGACCAGGAACAAUGGUCCAUCAAAACAAAGUUUCCAAUUAACUAGGGUAAAUGAAAUUUGAAAAAUGACUCAGCCAAGAUUUUUGGCUGAGGACAAUAUCCUUUUUAUUUUCUCCCUCGAUUGUUCCAUGUGAUUACUUUUGUACCAGCAAACCCCACAAUAUCAGAGGGACAAAAGUCAUACUGAUCAUAUAUAAACAAUCACAUGCAUAGCCUUUAUCCUGACUUAAAUUCAAACUUUUUUUUUUAAUUUUCCCAAACUUAAAUUCAAAAUCUAGUAAAUCUGUUUCUUUAUAAAUAGCAUUUCCCAUAUACAAAUUACAUAAUUGUAAAGGCCAUUACUAGAGACAUCCUAAACUCAUUUCUCUACUGUCCAUGUGAAAAUUCAUUGGAGUCUAUAAAAUGACUGUCAUACAUUUUGGUGAUAAAGAAAGGGAAAGAAAGAUAAAAGACAUGUCUUGGAACUUACAAGGACAAAGAAUAAAUCGAGUUAGUUAUUUCAACAAUAUAUAUAGCCAAUUGGAAAUUGAUAAAAUUGCCAUACUUGCAUGAUUUUGCGGGUUAAUGUCACACUUAUGCCUCUCUGAAUCAUCAUGUCUGACAAGACACCAGCAAAGUAACCUGCCACGGCCAUCAUGCUCCAAGGAACAGCACUAAACCAUGCUGCUUGUCUUAAAUCAACAUGAUAUAUCUACAAGUAAAAGAGAAACUUUUGAUUCCCUAUCUUCAAAUGCAUAAUGUUAUUUAUCGCAUGUCAUGUACAGACAUAGUUUUUUACCGUCUUGAAAUAAAUGGGCAUCCAUGAAAGUAUAACGAAAAAUCCCUGCAUGAGGUAAACAAAAAAAAGGUAAAUGAUUUCGUAAAGGACACAGACUACAGACUAUAGAGCAGGCGAAGAAUGUCUUUUCCACCAAAAUGCACCUAUAAACAGCCCAUAAAGAUAUGUGACAAUAGUGGAACACAAAUUCAUCUCUCCAAUUUCAAAGUUCGCACUAACCUUCUCUCAAUUUUCUAAAAGACCCAAUAAUCUCACAACUUGCUCCGAAAAUCUUCAGAACUUAAAACAAUGCAUUCUAAUUAUCAAAUAACCAAUUUCCCAAUUAAAGAGUAUCAUUUGAUCUCUCAAAGAACACCUUGUUCUCCUACCCAGUACCAUCAAAGUGGUAACUUUUAAUUCAAUUAUGAGACACACACAAAAUCACCUUUUUGUUUAACCAAUUUUCAAGAUUAACCAAUCAAAGAUACUAGUUCAAAGACAACAGAAAGUUCAUGCAGUGCAUAAAUUACCCAGCUGUGCAUUGCAUUUGCAACAAUCAGAGUCCAUGUUGGUAGCUUAGAAAGCAAGCGCUUAAAUGGAGGGAUAACUUUGCUUUUCUUUGAUUUAUCCUUUAUGACAGAUUGCAUGUUCCCGUCGUUCUGUAUGUACCGCAACUCAUAUGCUGAUAUUUGAUGGCACUUGUCCGGGGUGCUUGAGGUUGCAGAUAUCCAGACCAAAACCCAGAGAAACCCAGACAAUCCAAAUAUAACAAAUGGACCAUACAAACCACCCUGAGACAUGAGAAUGGGAGAAAGUGUGAGUCCAAUAGCACUUCCAAGCUGGAAUCCCGCCAUUGCAAGUCCAACAGCUCUUGAUCGUUCUGUUUGAGGAAACCAUCUAAAAUCAAAGGUUCAGAGAUACCCUUAGCAGUUUGGACAUGCCAAAUCUUCAACACAAUAAGCUUGACAAAGAAUAUAUCAUGUAAAUCAUGAUAAUUAUGGAUUCAAUUUCAUAAAUUGCAUACCUUGCAAUCAUGUUGUUCAUGCAUGGAAGAGCUACCCCUUCUGCAAUGCCAAGCAACAUCCUCAUGGCAAGAAGUGCGCACAAGGAAUUUUCUGCAGCCCAGGGGGUGAGAAAGGUGGCUAAUGACCAUAAAGUGACACCCCAAGCCAUGACAACUUUGCCCCCGUAAAGGUCCACCAAAGUUCCUCCAGCUAUUGGCGAUAUUAGGUAUCCCCAGAGAAAAGAUGACUGCCAUUAGUAAGUAAAUUAAUGAGACAGCCUAUAAUGUUUAGAAGCUGUUUUUAGAACAGAUCUUGAGCCACUCACUGUACUCCUUUUUGUCAAAGAACAAGGUUUCUUUACCAAUGUGAUUGAAUUCACUCCUAAGUGGGUCCAACUGUCCUUUUAUUCUCCAUUUAACAGUUAGAUGAUCACUUCAAAAGAUCCUACAGAAAUGUAAUGCUCACGUUCUCAAGCAAGACAGGGAAACAAACAAAUGGCACUUGACAUCCUGUUUCCAGCAUUCAAAUAUAUGCCAUCGAAAACUUAAUAAUCUAUCUCUAUAUGCGCAUUUCAAUUCAGCAGGAGAAUUUGUAUACAAGUGGUAUGGACAGAUAUCCAUUGGUUUUAUUCUUUAAGAAACAAAAGGAUCCAAAAGCUUCAGUCACAAGAACAAGAACCACAACAUGACAAAGACAGGUUAUUUAGGCAAAUAGACAAAAGUAAAUGCUGACAUCACUUGAACUCCUGGAAAACAUUACUGGGAUUUAGAAAAACCAACAGACACAAAAUGCUGCAAGAAUUUUCACCUUAAAAAUGAAAAACUAUCUUCAAGGUGAAGAACUCCAAUCAUAUGCAAAUAUGACUUACAAAUCAACUUGUAUGUUCUGAUGUAAAGUCAAUUCCAGUAAAUAUGAAACACUAAUCACAGUCUGCUUUUUUUACGUCAAAUCCUCUUGUUCUCGAGUAAAUAGCAAAACAGCAAAAAGGAAGAAUGACUUGAGCACAAUCGCCAGAAGUACAAAGAUUGCUACCUUCCACGCAAAAUAAAUGUUGUUUUUUAUUUUUAUUAUUAUUCUCUUAUGUGACCUUUUUCUGUUUAUAGUUCAUAACAUCAUCAUAUAGUUGACCUUUGUAUUCAAAGGCAUUCUCCAGGACAAAUCUCCAGAAUAAAUUUUCUAUAAUGGUAAGACCAACAUAUACCGCAUGCAAACGCUCUCAAAUUCCAAGAGCUAAUCUUCAAAAAUGCUGGAUCACAUACUCAGCAGUUAGGCUAAAUGAACCCUUUUCUACCAUUCCGCUUUAUUUAAGGUUCAUACUUUCUUUCGAAUUCCAAGAGUUAAUCUUCAAAAAGGCCAAAUCACAUACUUUGGGAUUAGGCCAAAUGAACCUUUUCUUCCAUUCCGGCUUUAUUCAAGGCUCAUACUUUCUCCAAGUUCAAAAGAAUAAAUACAUUUCUUGACAUUUUUAUUCCAGUUGUGGGUUGAGAUGAAUAGGCAGGAAAACAUCACCCCAUUUCAUGUUGAACAGUUAUUUAGAAAUGUUAGGAAACACUACAACAGUAAUCCAAAGCUAAGUCAGGAAAAUAAAACAACGAUAUAGCAGUCAUAAUUUAAAAAAAAAAAUUACCUGGACAACCCCGGCGAAAGAUUGACGCCAGCCAUGAGAAAGCGAGAGGGGAACGAUAGCGACCGACAUGACGACUCGGUCAGCAUUACAAAGUGCCAAAGCUAAAGCCAGCAUAGCCACCACCUUGACUCUCUCGGAAGUAAUAAACUCCACCGCACUCGGCUGACGGAAUUCGCCUCCGCUGCUACUGGAAAUCGACCUAGAACCAUUCGACGAAGAAGCCCUAAUCGGUAGAAUCCGUUCACUUCGAAGUCUAGAAGAAAAUUCAGUUGCACAAGCAGUGCUGGUUUUACUCCACCAAUUACGAUGGUUCAAUUUACAGGGAAGCUUAGAAGCACUAGAAUUAGUUAAUGGCAGUUGCCUUUCCGAAGGUUUAGGGCUCUUAAUCGGGGUUGGGCUGCUGACGGGAAGCGGGCAGCGGAGAGCAGCCGGAGAAUUCAUUCUGCAAUUGGGUCCAAGUCAGCAAUUUAUACGAAAUCCAUUCCCUGAGUUGGGCGAUAUACUCGGUGUUGAACUAAAUUCGAGUAAUCUAUCAAGUGAACACUAGUGAUCAGGAACAUAGGCUGCCGCCUGAAAUACUACUCCUUACUACUGGAACCCAAAGUCGAAAUAGCACAACAGUGCUGCUACUCCUACGUAGCGACGAAAAUGCCGCGGUGUUCUUCUUGGCAGUUUAUUAAUGGCUAAGCUAAAGACCAUAGCAGGAAUCUUAUAAAGUUUUGGCUUUAGAUAAAUCGAGCAGAGAAGGAACCUGUAGACUAGUAAACAAGGACGAGACUAGCUCAUCGGCCGCAUGAGCCUGAUGUUUUUAUCUUCUGAGCUUGAAACUUGGUGCCGUACUGCUACUGUUGUUGAUGCGUUGGGUUCGUAUUCUCGAAUCUAAUAAUAAUAGUGGGUGAUUCACCUUACAUGUUUGGUUUAAGAGUAAUAAAUAGAUUCUAUUUUUUAUUAACAAAAAAUUAAUUUGAAACCCGAUCUAUGAGACGGGAAUGAUUCUGCACGUCAAUCAAAUAAAUUAUAGACCAAUUGGCUGGAUGGAUGUUUCUCGUGGAUUCCACCUUAGAUUGCUCGUUUGGGCCGGUGUGUUCGGUGUUAUCUCUGCGUGUCUAUUCAUUAUUUGGGUGUGUGUGUCUAUUUCGCUUCGGCAAAAAAAAAAAAUCAAAUAAAUUAUAGGUAUCAUUAUUAAUUUUGAUGUGUGUUCCUGUCCCUUGAACUUAAAUUUCCAAACAUUUUUACAUGUUAACUUUGGACAUAGGGUUAGCUUUGAAGGAAUAGGAAGGUACGGAGAGGAAAGAAUAAGAAAUGAAAUGGAUGAAUAAAGUUUCAGAUUUUGGAAUAGUGAGAGAUAUAUGUAAGAAUUUGGAAUAAAAAUUUCAGAUUUUGUUUUGCUUGCAUCAUACACACAAUUCCCAAUCACCUUUUUAUCUCACAUACAUCACAUCACAAAAAGUGCUACAGUAACUGAAUCAAAUAAAUCAUCCAAAUAAAUUCUUAUCCAAACAAACUCCUCUCGAGAUCUCCUUAAUUUUUGUCGCCCAACUUUCUGUCCAAAAGCAGACGGAAACAAAGGUAAAGGUGAAAUUUUUAUAUAAUUUUCCAAAAAACUCAUGUGUUUACAAAUUAAACUUAUAAAUUAUUAUAUAUAAAAACAUAACUAAUACAUAAUAAUUUCUUUCAUUUCCUUUCCCUCUCUAAUCCAAACAAAUAAUAAGUUAAUUUUUUUUCUUUCAUAUUUAAUUGAAAUAAAACACAGAUGAAAUUCACUUUCCUCUAAUCGCCUUUUCUUUUCUUUUCUUUUUUUGCCCUUUCCUUCCCUUUCUUUUCCACUAAAGUCCUCUCACUUUUCCUUCCUUCCCUCCCCUUCAAUUCAAAUGCAUCUCUGUCUUUUUCUUUUCUUUUAUCUUUUGUAUUUUGUGUUUUAUCUUUUGUAUUCUGUUAUCAUGAUCACAUCCAAUUAUUUUCAGAAUCCGAUCCAGUGCCUAGUCAAAUUACUCUGUAAUGACAAAUUUCAAGAUACAAGUGCAAUCAUCUCUUUGGUAAGCCAAACAAUUCGUCAUCAGCUGCUCUAUCUGACUCUGCAUGAUUAUACCAACCACUAAUCCAGUUCAACAUUAAAGCAGAAGCAGUUAGCAGACGAAUAACUACUUCCUUUCCCCGUGUUUCAAAUCGUGCAGAGACCAUUGAACCCCUUCCCCUUCUGUAGAGUCAGCGGCAUUAAGUUCGGAAAACUUUCGAACAAAUUACAGCUCGUUCAAUUCAAUGUGCAGAAGAGCUUCGGUAGAAUGGGAACGCUCCAGGCAUCGAAGCAAACAAUUAAUCCCGGAAAAUCUUAGUGAUCUCAAAGUCUAUCUGUAUGUCCAGCUAGAAUUCACUCCAGACUUCCCAUUUGUCUGGUAUCUCGUUCCAGAAGAAUAUCUUCCAGUUCCAUCUACAGAAAUAGAAAAGGCCGCUACCCCAUGACCUACUAAUUUGAGAAGCUAGCAAAAGGUUCAGCUUUUCACUGUAUGUCCAUACUGUCCCUGGCUAUAAUCCUACAAUGUGAAGCUGAAGUUAUGAAACCAUAAUUUUCUCUAAACAUCAAACCGUAGAUUCUAUGAUACAUAAUGACAUAGAAAAUCAACAGCCACAGUUGAUACCUGCAGGAGACAAUCUUCAGGCAACCUAUGAAACCCUAGGGAGCCUCGUGACAUGUUUUUUCUGGCGGCAAACUUACACUCUGUUGGUGCAAUUGUCACAAUCGGAAUAUAUUCAGCCAACAUCACUGCUGAAAAUUAAGAAUGAAGCAUCAAAAGAUUUCAGUCAACCGUGAACCCACUUCGACUUAAUUAUAUCAGAAAUUACCGCCCAAGUGUGCUGUCUUACUAACCAAACAACCGCAGUCUAUGUCACAAACUCCAUUAGACAGGCUGACACAACAGAAGUAUACAUCUUACACUGGUUGCAAUCACUCUACAAAGCCACUAUCCUUCACAGUUAAUGCUUUGGGAGAAAAGUUCAUCACCAAUUACCUAUUUUUUUUCCAGCAAUCUGACUCUCCAAGUACAGGAAUACAAAGCUCGGUGUCUGCUGCAGACAUCCUUCUCAGGAUUCCACAAUUACUUCUGCCUUUCUACACUGUUCCUGUGGUUACUGUUGUCACUUGCAGCUCCUUGUUUUUAGCUGACAGUGUACUCUAGAUACUGCUAAUUUAAUUCCAAUGUAUGAAGAUUAAAUUAAUUUUACUUGAUGUGCAAUACCACCAAGUGGUGACCAUUUGAAGGAUUAGAUUUCUUGUGCUAUCCACAGGUAUGUGAGCUCACCAAUUAAACAGAGUUAAUAACAAUAGAUGAAUUUGGCAUUGUUUCUUCUGCUCUGAAGUUUGACCAUGCAUCAAACACAAUACCACAUACAGCAGAUUCAAAAUUCAAGUAUAUUUAACAACUAGAUGCAAACUUGUAGGAAGAUCUGUACAUAAGCACAAAAGGCAACUAAAACUUAAAAGAUUUAAAUCUCCACCAGUUUCUUUCAAAUUUCAAAAUGAACGCUUAUUGCUAACAUGCAAUUAUAAAUUUCAUUAUCUAAGUAGAAACAUGUCCCUGAUGUCAAAAUAAAAGUUUCUGCAUGUAUUACAUACAUCCAGUGAUCACAACAUCACAUUUUGCUUGCAUGUUUACCAAACAGUGAAUGUCGGCCUUCGGCAAUAAGCUCUCCUGUUAAUUUGUUCCUCACGAUCACAAGUGUUCCAGAAUAACCACCUUUUCGACCUAGAAGUGUCGAGACAAUCUCCAAUUCAUCCUGAGAAAGUAAGAUAUUCAACUAAUCAAGUCAAAAACCAACAUUUGCCAAUCAAACAAUUUCACAUUUAGCCAAUAUGUGACGCACAAAACCGAUUAGCCCCUGAUCUGGUAAUAACAAGAAUACCCUCUCUUUUUUUCCCAAUUUGCAAUAAGAAUACCAAUAUAUUGGAUCGAUAGCCCUUAUCAAGUUAUCAAACAAUCCAGCUUAAUAACGAAGAGAUUUAUUAACGCACAAAUGAAAGUAUUAUUAACUAAAACCAGAAUAUCUGAAUUACUCGUUCAUUAACAUGAACAUUAGAUAUUCCAACACGGAAAUUGAAAUCAUUUGAGGAGGGCUUACAUCAAGUUUGGCAGUUGAGAGGUAAGAAAUGGACAUAUCCACUGAAACAUUCAUGGGGAGUCCUUCCACGUGGACCAAAGCACCACCCAUUUCAUCCACUAGGUUGGCCACCGCCCCUGAUGCCAAAUUUCCAUUCCUAUCCUGAACGAAGACCCACAAAAAUAAAUAAAUAAAAUGACUGAAAAAGGUUCACAAAUUUUAGUCAAAAUUCAAAUAGAAAAUAAAAUACCUACAUAAUCAGUUGAAACUACUCAAAGAACUCAGCUGUAAUUUUGCUAAUAUCUCAAAAUACGGGGAACUUUACUUACGAUGAGGCGAGAAGGGACUUUGAAAGUGCAGGAAACGUAGCCAGGUUCGACUCGGUCGACUCGGAUACCGCGAAGGGCGUAAUACUCGUAGAAGCUAGAAUCGAGAUGGGGUCGGUGAGGAGGGAAGGUGAGUUGGGAUACGCGGUCGGACUCUUCCUUGGCUAGCUGAAGAGAUUCCCUGGCGUUCUCCAUUUUGGGUCCUAUCUGAGCUCUGGCAGGAGUAUGGCAUACGAGUCCAUGAUUGUCUUCAAUUUAACGCAAUCAAGGCCGUCCGAAGGCGCCGUUUGGAUUGAGGAAAAUAAAAACGAAAUGAAGGGAAUGGGCAUCAGUGGAAAAAAAAAAGGGUACAGGAAAGCCGUUUCUGGCUAAUAAAUGAAAGAUUUGUUUAGAUUAAGGAAGAAACGAAAAGAAAGAAAAACAUCAACUGUUACCGAACACAAACAAAAUAAUUAGACUAUUUCCCUCCUCAGAAAUCAACAUAAAUUUAAUAAUAAAAAAAAAAAAAAACUAAUCCCCUCCAAUUCCUUUCGUUUUCUUUCCCUCCCAUUACCUCAAUCGAGAUUAUGCCAAAGUUUCUAGAAUUAUGAAAAACGAUGUUAUAAAGGGUUAAUUUUACUUUACUCCCUUGAAUGUUUGGAGUGGUUCAUCUUUACCCCUUAAAUAAAAAAUUAUUCAGUUUAUAGUAUAAGACUGACUAAUUGUCAAACCAAUUCUUAGACUGGUAUCAUUUGCAAAGGCAAUGUAAAGACAUAUUACAAAACACUUUAGAGAAAAUAAAUUUAUUUUUUCAUAAUUAUUUGGUGGUAGUGAGUUUAGAUGUAUGAUAUAGCAUUUUGAUUCAAAUUUUAAAAUUUUUAUUUUUACAUGUGACAUGUUUCUAGAUUCACUAAUUUAACACACAAAAAAAAAUCCACUAAUAAUAUACGAAUCAUUAAUUCAACAAAUUAGCCAUAUAAUCAGUUGCUAAAUGCAUUGAAAAUAGGAAAAUCAUUCAAAAGUCCUAAAAUUAAUUCUAUUCUUCUACGUGGCUUAAGGUAGAUUCUCUUUAGAGUUUACUGAGUAGAUAUAAGUGGUGAAAUUUGGGAAAAAGAAAAGUUUUCAUGCUCUGAGAAUUAUAGAAAGCAAGCCCAUAUAAAAGAUCUUCUGGACCUCAACUACAAAUUUUUUUUUUUUUUUGGAGUAAAAAAUAGCUUUUUGAACAUGCCACGAAAUUUUUUGUGACAUCAUCGUAUUCUGUUACAAAAUAUCAAAGGUCCUAGUUGUGGUGGGGGAUAAAAUGAAACUGACCCAAUCUUAAAAUCGGGGGAAUAAAAGCAACAAUUGCAGUUACAGAUUGACGGAUUGCAUCCUUCACGUGGUGUAUUGCUAAUUUAUCAUUUAAUAGUGUGAUUACUCUUUUUUUUUUUUUCCGACACAGGGUGCUCGGAUCAAUCCUUACGAGUCCAAUUAAUUCCCUGUGAUCCGAGCCGACGCCCAACCCGGCCCGAAUACGUUAAUAGUGUGAUUACUCGUUGACGGACUAUUGAUAUUAGUAAUGUAUAUUGAGCAUCUAACAUUUCCCCCCUUAUUCAAUAUUUUUAUUUAUUAUUGGAUUAAUUUUUUAUAUACUGACGGUUUAGUAAAAAUUUUUUACACCAACGAAUAUGAAUUUAUAUCACAUGUGCAUUAUUUGAAUUUUAAAAUUGAAUUCAUUAUUGUUUGACAUGUUUAAACCUACUAGUGUAAAAAAAAAAAAAAUUGUACACCGAUAAUAUACAAAAAACUUUUAUUCUUUUAUAUUUUUCCGCUUUGUUGGUUUUUCGACAUUAGUUGACCCUAUCACUGGACAACCGUUUCUACGUUGUCUCUCCCACGCUUCUCUUUUCAUCCCCAAAUAUCUUAUCCAUUUUUUUCCCAUUCAACCUCUUAGCCAAGUAAUUAAAAGUGCCAAUUUUCUAUGGGUCUGACAAACGAGGGAGUAGGCAUUGGUUAAGAUAGAAUUUAUUUGUUGAUAUUUUAAUAUAACAUAAUAUAAUUAUUAGUAUGUGUAUUUAUAUAUGAUAAAUUAUAGAAUUUAUUUGUUGAUAUUUUAAUAUAACAUAAUAUAAUUAUUAGUAUGUGUAUUUAUAUAUGAUAAAUUAAGUGUACUAACCAAUGCUACAUUAGAAAAAUCCGUCUUUUAUUUCUUUCCCUCUCUAGUGUUGUUAAGGUUGGUGUAAAUAAUUUAAUGGAUUGCAUGAAUAUCUGUGGUUUUCUUCCUAAGAAAAAAGCCAAUUGGCCGGUUUUAAAGUAGUACUGCUUCUUUACCCAUAAAUUCUAGCUAAAGCUAUCUUCCCACAUUUCGUUGAUGUGGACCAAAGGUUAAGUUGUCCUUAAUAUCAAAUACUCCCUCUGUCCCACUUUGAUAGUCCUAUUUCUUUUUUCACACAGUUUAAGAAAAAGUAGUUAAAUUUUGUUGGAAAAGUAAAUUUAGAUUGUUAUUUUUCUAAAAUGCCCUCACAUUAAAUAUGGUACAACUUUAUGGAAACUUGAAUUGAUGGUAAAAAAAGAAUCAACUCUCAUUAAAUGGGGUAGAUUUAUAGUAACAACUACUUACAUUAAAUAAAAGUAUUUUAGGAAAAUUAAAAUACAACUAUAUUUUUCAAUUGGAAAGUAGACUACAAUUUGGGACAAUGAAAAAGGAAUACAGGACUAUCAAAGUGAGACGGAGGGAGUAUUAAUUAAAAGGAUUAAAAGAGGGAAGGCAGAGACAGGAGAGUUGUUGGGUGGUAUGCUGAGAACAUUUACUCGUUGCGAAAUGUUAGCCAAGAAAUAAAUCAAGGAGAAGUUUCUUUUGCCCAAAAAUAAAAGGAAAACAUUAGUAAGACUAAACAGAGAUGAAUGUUAUUUGCAUUCUAGUUUUUGUUAUUUGUAUUCUCACAAUUUGUUUUAUAAUAUAGUUUAAUAAAUGAAAACUAUAUGAUAAAAAUAGUAGUAGUGUAAAUGUGAUUAUCAAAAAUAAAUCAAGGGAAUUGAUAUUUCGAACUCCCUAUUUAGUUUCUUGCACUCCAAAUCACUCACUAAAAAUAUAGCCUUUAAAGAGUGCUAGAGGCUAAUUAAGAAGUGCAAAUAUUACUUUUCUAAAUCGAGGGUCUGUAAACGGUACUAUUUAAAAUGUAGUUUAGGUGUUGAAUUUUUGAAAAAAUAAAAUUAAUUACAAUUAUGCACAAAAUGCAAGAGAGGGUGAUGAUUAUCGAUGCUUAUUCGCAUAAUUAGUAUUCAAUAAACACUCGUUAGAAAAAUCUAUAAAAUCAAUAAAAAAAAAAAAAAAGAAACACAACAAUGCCAGCAUGGUUAACAUACAUAAAAAGGGUGCAAAUCCCAAGCCCCAGAGGCAGCCCAAGGGAACCCCGGAUUGAGUGAGUGAGGGUUUUUCGAAGGAAAGGCCCAGCGUCUGCCUGUUCACACUUAACUCAUCCAUUCGUCUUCGGAUACCUUGUCUUGCAACUCUGCCAUUUUCGUUUUCUGCACUGUUACUUAUCACAGUACCACUACUGUCACCACACCUCUUAAUCUUGUUUUCUUCCACACUUCUUCACACCAUCUCCACCCCUGUUUGCAGCUCCACCUUCUAAAAAAUGAACCCAUUUCGGAUCACCCAUUUCCAAAUCCAAUGACUCGUAAUAAACCCGAAUUUCAAGCCCAUCCACCUCGUACCCGCCGCCUUUCCUCAUGUCACCUCCACCCGGCUGAUCCGGCCACCGGCAUUUGCGCUUCUUGCUUACGCGAGCGCCUCUGCGGCCUCGACUCUUCCGCUGACCUCCUCGAACCCUCUUCUUCUGCUGCAGUCAUCCCGUCUCUCGGCAAUGGCGACCUCGCCGGAGCUGGACCAGUUAAUUGCCUGAACAAAGCUGCAGCCGCCACGUCGUCUCCGGAGUUGCGCCGUUGUAGGUCUGUUUUUACUGCUAAAUGCGAAGCUUCCACCAGCUUCGCCGAGCCCAGGCGCAGGUCCUGCGACGUUAGGGCUCGAAACGUGAAAAGUCUGGCCCAUCUGUUUGAUGUGGACGAUGAAUGUAGUAAUGGAUCUAACAGGGAGUCCAAGGUUGAAUCCAAGAAUAUUACCACGGCUGCUGCUGCUGAGUUUGGAGAAGAAAUUAAAGUAGAAAAUGCAGGAGGAAACAGGGAUCCCCAUGUUGCAUUCAAUGGGGACGAGGAGGAGGAGAAGGAGGAUGAUUUGGAAGAUGGAGAGGUCAAGACGAUGAAAGAACACAUAGAUCUAGAACUGCAGAGCAAGGGCCAGAGGUCGAAAGAUUUUAAGGAAUUAGCUGGAAAUAUAAGGGAGGCAGCUUCUGUUUUCAGCAAGAAAUUGCAAAAAUGGAGGCAGAAGCAGAAGAAAAAGGUUCUUUAUGGCAAUGAUGGAGGCACUGUUGGUGGGAUUAAUUGUGAAGUACAUGGUCCAAAAGGGAAGAAAUUGGAGGAAACUCAGUCUGUGGCUGCGGAUUAUGCAAUGGGCAGGAGAUCUUGUGAUACAGAGCCUAGGUUUUCUGUUGAUGCUGGGAGAUUGUCUGUGGAGGGCGGGCGCAUUUCGAUUGAUGAGCCGAGAGCUUCUUGGGAUGGGUAUUUGAUCGCUAGGACUAUUCCCAGGCUUGCUCCGAUGUUGUCAGUUGUGGACAAUGCGAUUUUAAGUGGCGGAAAUAGGAUUGAUCAUCAUAGAGUAUCUGUUGACGGGCAAAUGCAUUCGAUAAUGGAAGAUGAGACCAGUUCUGGAGGGUCAGCUCAGUCUAAUUCGGAUUCCUCGUCUUCUCAAAGGCGAAGUAGUUUUGAUAGGUCAAGCUCUGUUAGGAGUUUUGGGAAGAAGAUGGCGGUAUUGGAUGGGGAUUAUGCGAAGGCCUCUCCUGGAAGGCUGGUAAUUACGGAGAGGGAAUUGAAAGAUUGGCAUUUGAAUUCGAUCAAAGAUGAUCACAAGAAGAAAUUUGAAUCUUCUUCCAGGGAGAACUCUCCUGCUCUUGAAGAUAGAAGUAAUUUGGGGUCAAAGAAGCCUGUUAGGUGGCGAAGGGUGUUGAACGUGUUUGGUUUCAAGCAAAAGUCCUGUGAAAACAAGUUUGAAAAACCAAUGGGGGAUUGUUCACCUGCUCAGGCUUGUGAGAAGCAAGAAAAGGAGGCUGGUGAAGAAAUCAAAGCUGCCACUCAUUGGAAGCUUAUGAGGAGCAGUAGCAUUGUUGGUGCAAGACGUUCUUGUGAGGUGAUCAGGUCAAGUAAUGGUAUGAUGAGUCUUGGUGAUGAUUCUGACUGGGCCAACAGGAGCCGGGAAGAAUUUGUGCUGGGACGAAAUCACCGAGCUACAUAUGCUUCAAGCAAUUUGGAUGAUGGUGUUUUACCAUUUUAUUUGACACCCUUGAGGACUUCCAGGAACGGGAAAUCGAGAAGGGACAAGCUGCAAGACUCACAUUUUGUUGAUGGGAGUCUUUUACGGCUCAACUGAAUAUUAAAAUUUCUGAGUGCGCAUUGAGUUAAUACUAUGACUUUGUAAGGAUUACUAGUUGUUUCUCUUCUUGUUUAUGGGUGAUAGCAAGGCAGGACCAGCAUGUUGUAACUCUACUGUUUUUAGGCAGUAUCCAUGACAUAAUAAUACGAGUUACAGCAUUUUUGUGUCUUGGUUUUCCACAUGUUUGUUCCUUUUCAUUGUUGGGCUCUUAUUAUGCCUAAGAAAUAGUGAAAGUUACCAGCAGCAAUAUGUGCUUUGAUGACAUUUGUUAUUGUGUAAGAAUUACUCGGUACUAUAGAUAUCUAAAGUGCUCUUAUCAGCAGCCUCCGAUCCCCAAUUAUGGUGGCGCAAAUUUCCGGAGAAGUGCAGGUUCAGUGGCUUAUUCAGCCCCCUACUAUAUUGCAUCCCCCAUACUAAUGAAAAUUUUGCUUUCGAGGACAAAUUACAAUAGGCAUUUAUACAGAUGGAUUAAAAAAAUGUAGAUCUAGUGGAGGCGCGAGACUCGACUCAAAUAAAGAUUCGCAAUUUGCGCUUCUUGGCACCGGUUCUAAUGAAAAUCCAACUUGUUCUCCCCCAUACUAAUGAAUGAGAGUCAGAUAUAGCUUUCGAAAUUAAGCCUUUAAAAUGGCACAAUCGCCUUUCAGCUGAGACAUCAAAACGCACAACAACAAACAAGUUGAUAGAUAUGAAUGAACUUUACAUGCCUUCAAGAAAACUGAGUUUGGAAAACCUAGUCCUGCUUCAGCUAUUAUACUAUCUACAAACAAAGGAUGAACUCCACACACAAGGGCAUGGGGUGUCAUAAGAUCAGAAAGUUGCUUAUUGCAGCAUCAUCUUCGACCCAUCAGGUAUUUGGUCUUCACAUAUUUGGAAAUACUUGAGGUAACAUGAUUGGCCUGGAGCCGCUUUCUAGAUCCCUUGGCAGGAGGAGUCUCUUCCGAUUCAUCAUCUGUGUCAAUCCUUGAAGAGCCCAACCUGGUUUGUUUAGCUAUUCGCCGUAGAAUAUGUACAUUUAAGUAGUAAUUUACUAUUGUCUCUCUGCUUUGACAAGGUAAGUACUCAAGGGCGGAAUUGAUUAAACUCUGACCAAAAGAUUUGGCAUGUAUUCUCACAACAUCCUUGAACUUCUUCUGUUCUUCCAAAGUCCAUAACUUGGAAACAUCUUCUCCCAUGCUUUCAAAUUUCCAUUGCCAAAAGGCAGGCCCCAGAUCAGAUUGCAGCUGGAUUUUCUUAGCAUUGAUGUGCUGUCUAACGCAUUCAACAGAUCCAGGGGAUACACAUGAACAAGACUUGGGUCUUCCUUUUCCGAUCACAUCUCCAGAGACUUCCAGGCUUCUGCCUUUAGUUGGCCAUACCUUGAUGCUUAACCACUUUGAACUGCGAGAUUUCCUGUGCAUGUUGUGCUGACCAUUCUUGUGUAGGGAAACAGGCAAAGCUGGCAGAUCAGCCUGAAAACGAGGUCCGACUGGAAUUGCGAGUCUGAGACUAUCAUCACAUAUGUACUCUAUCCAACCUUUAGGAACUGGAUCGUUCUCCUUCUGGAUAUGGAGUUCCUUUGAGGGCUUCAUUUCUUCGUCCUUCUGAAGACAAUCAACAAUGAGAAAAAUGCUCCAAAGGGACUGGCAAUCUCAAGUACUUUGUAGGUGUAGGUACACAAGCAAAUAGAUGCAAGAUGCUUGAUACUGCUAAGCACGUUCGUUAGUCUAGAUAAAAUAGGACAAUGCACAAGAUGAACUCCAACGAAUUGCUAAUUUGAACUAUAGAAUUCAUGAAAAGAAUUGUGCAAGACUCAGUGCAUUCAUGCAAUAAAAGACACAUCAAGCACCAUCACCUGUCAUUAUUUUUAACCAGUAAAGCAAGGGGAAGGAACCUGUUCAAGAUGGAGAAGAUGAUAUUAGCAAGCGAAUAGCUUCUUCGGAUUGCACGAUUCCACUCUCCCAAUACUGUGUGCUGGGGGAGGCUGUAAUGCUAUUGAUUAAAAUUGAUUUUAUGUCAUCGUAGGCCGCUAAAUUGUACAGAAAAGAAAUACUACUAUCAGUUAGCAAAUACUACAUGCAGACAACAGUUUUCAAAAGCACCUCAAAGACACAGAGCUAGCGAUUCAGCAAAAUAGCUUUGCCUUCCACCAAAAGAAGGCGUUGCUUUGCAUAAGCAAUUGAUUUUGGUGACGACAAUUCAUUGCUUCUCCUCCGAAAAAAAAAAGGAGAGAAAAUAGUUCAUUUAUCUUACAACACAAAAUUUCAAGAAGCCCACCAAGCUUGUACUCUGUUUAUGGAUUCCAGCCAAUAAACGGAGGCCAACAAGAUUCUAGCAUGAGAUUGAAAUUAUCUGUUACAAGAAUAUGCGGGGAAAUAAAUAAAAUCAAAUGAAAUAAAAAAAAACCUCCAUUUUGCUGGUAAUUGCCGUUUACGUUUAGAUGGUCGGAGCAAUCUUCAUUGAAAACAAGAGAAGCAAAAAUUUUGCUGAAUCGCUUAAGCUUCAAUCUACCCAUGCAUGAAUUGAAUAACACAUUUCUAGUGUUGCGAAUUCUACACAACUUGAAUUGAAUUCGAGUUAUCCAUUUACCGGUGCACCGGGAAUUAAUAUUCAAGAAAAUUUCUGAUAUAUGAAAUUAAACCCUAACCCUGGAUAUCGGCUAAACAGAGCGUCCGAACCGAUAUUAGAGGAAUUUAGGAUUCAAGAAGGAAUUGUAUUGUUUCAAUGAUUUUUUUUUGGGCUGUCAGACUGCAUAUUUUUUUCAUUUUGUUUUAAACGGAUAAAUAGUAUUUAGCAAAUUUCUUUAUUCUUAGACCAGAAAUAUCCGCAAAUAUUUCAGCUAAAAUCUCUAAAACGAAUAUCCAAGGAAGAAAAUUACCAACAAAAAAAUGGUUACUAGGAUUAACUAAUUUUGAGUCAUAGAAAUUAAUUUUUUAAUUUAUAUCCAAAAAAAUUGGGAAUUUUUAUUUGUAAAACUUAAAUUCUUUUGGGAGAGGGAAAUGGAAUGCAAAUUAUGGUAAAAUGAUUGAAAGUAUAACAAAUACCUAAAAAAAAAUACCAAUAGAUAAGCCUCUUCUAAUGCUUUGAUCUUCUUCGACAAUUUUUAGUAAGAAACAAUUGCCUGUCUUAUGCCUCUGAUUCUUGCUAUUAAAGAUGAUACAACAACAAAUAAAUGAAGACAACUAUAAUGUGAAGGAAAAAGGUGACAAAUAGCUUUUGGAGAAAAGGAAAUUGACUAGUAUAGUACUUUUCCAAAGAGUCCCUAUAAAGAAUGGAGUUUGGGAACACACACCUAUAUUGUUAUGGAGAGGUUGAACACUUAAAGAUGCAUGUUGCUCUUCUCAAGCAUAGCCCUUGCAAUAUAACAAAUGAGAGUUGUGGGAAGCUAGUUGACACAAUAUAUAGGUGGCAAGUGAGGACUUGCAUCAUCCCUCAAAGCCAAUCAACUCAAUUCUCAGGCUUUAAUAGUUCAUUUGAAUUACUAAAUGAGAUGGUAGCCCAUUAAAGAAGGGCCUUUAGAUUUACAUAGAUCCGAUCUAGAGACCUACUUAUAGACCGUGUAAUUUAAGAGAAAUUCACCUAUAAGAAGUGAUUUAAAAUCACGAUAUUUUAAAUAAUAGAUGCAAAUAUAAAAUUUCUAAAAUCAAGAAGAUGAGCUAUCUUUAGUUUAUGACUGUCGCUUAAAUAGGACUUUCCAAUCGAAUAGCAUAUGGUCACAGUGAUGUAUGACAAUGUAAGAAAAGUGAUAGUAAAUAUUAAAGUCUGUCUAAUGGGUGCUUAUAUCACUAAUAUUAUUUUGAAAAUUACAUACAUUAUACAAAUCAAAAUUGUCAUUGGAUAUAGGAUUUUAAAAUCUAUAAAUAAGAUAUCGAUGUAUAUCCCUAAAAUUUUAGGUAAGAGAGAAAAUAAUAGUAGGUUUUGGAGGUUAAGCAAGUAAUAUAAUACAAAAAUCCAAUUGAUUUUUUUUUAUUAUAAAAAGCAGACUUCAUUAACAAAUUAUUGAAAAUCGUCCAGCGUGAUUUGAUCUAUAUCUCUACCCUAAUGGUAGGUUAAACAUAAAAAUUACAAAUCUGCAUUUUAACAAAUGCAAUAGAUCCAAAAAAAUUAUGAACAAAUCUAAAAAAUAAAAGAAAUUUCAAAAUUGUCUCUAACAGAUAAAUCACUGUAGCUCCCUACUAUGUAUAUUCCAAUCACUGGGUUUAUUAAUCAAUGAUUUUAAACUCUAAUAAUAUGAUGCGAUCUGUCGAAUUAGAUCCAAAAUUCCAAAAAUAUUUCAGAUUUGACGACCAAAUCUGAAGUAAAUUAAGAUCUAAAAAUAAAAAAAAAGAAGAAAAACACAAAAAUCUCCAUAGUAAUCUAUAGGAGAAUAGAAAAUUCUCACUUAGAAUUUCUAGGAGAAAUAGAAAAGCUUCAUUAAAAAAAAAUUCAGGAAAGAGUUUAUUAGAAAAACAAAACAAAACAAAAUGAAAUUCAUGGGAAGGAGACCAUCACGUGAUCUCCCUCCCUAAGGGAAUGUGUUUUAAGAGAGGAGGGGAAAUUGGGAAAAGUUGAAGAAGAGGAGAGGUAGAAAGAAAAGGGUUGAUUUCUGAUAAGAUAAACAGGUUUGCAAAAAUCCAAUUGAUGGUUGAGGAUUGUAUAUAAAAUUUCCAAACUAAGAAGAUGGGGGAAGGUUAAGUUGGGUGGUAAAACGGAAAAGAUUGUAAAUAUAAGGUUCUAAAUUCAAAAUCACAUUUUAAAAAAAAAUAAAAUAGAAACUAGGAAGAUAACUGAAUAAUCUUUCCCAAUCACUUAUAUAUUAGCAAAAUGAUAAGAAUAAAAGAAAAUUUAAAAGUACCCGUUUUCCAUGGGUUCUUCCAUUGAUGGGCUCAGUGUCUAUAGAAUAAAUUUUCUUCGCUAAAUUGCCUUUUCUUUUUUGCUUUUGAUCCAUCGCCAAAAUGAAAUUGUGCUGCAUAAUAUGCAUGGAGUGGGUCAAAUUAAAUGAGUUGGUAUAUUGAGUAGCUCGAUAAUUAUUCGAUGUCUCUUUUUUCUAUUAAAGGAGAUGGUCAAGUCUGCAUUCCAUCAUACUAAUAUUUAUUUUUAGUACAACAUUGUUACAAUUAAUACUAUAAUGGAAAAAGAAGACGGAGAUGAACCUAUCUAAUUUAUUAAAAUGCUUUAUGAGAGUUAAAUAACUUUCGAUCAUAUGCCAAAAAAUUCUGAAAAGGAAACACAAUUAGAGGGUUUGACCCCUAAUCUUCGCCCACGGGGCAUGGAGGGACUUACUUAGUCCCUCUUCUGGUGGCCAUACCAAUCAAUGUACCUACUAAUCAAGACAUCAAAAGAAAGGUGGGGAAGAAGGAUAUUGUCUUUGACAAAAGGCGCCAAAUUAAGUGCGUGAAUGCGCAGGAAAAUGAUUCAUGGUAAUGUUUGCUAUUUAGUUUAUUUUACAAUUAUAUUUUUUUCUUACAUGGACUUACCAAGAGUGAUCAUUCUUGAGGUAAAAAGACAAUAGCAAUACGCUUUCAAAUGUCAAAGGGAAGGAAGGUAAAAAAAGACGACGUUGUGUUUGUCGAAAUUAAAACACUUGUUGGUAAUAUUAAUACGUGUCACUCAAGUAAUUUAGUUUUUCUUAUACGGAAUUCACAUAAAAUUGUCAUUCUUGAAUCAAAAGCAAAGUAGGAAUUGGUUUGUAAAAUUAAAAAAAAAAUAUAGGGAAUUAAAUCUGUGUAAAUUUAAAUAUUUAAUUGAUUAACAGGGAUGAUAUUUUGGACCUAUAUAAAUUUCACCUCAUUGAAUAAAUCUGAGAAACUUUCUAAGCCAAUAUACAGAUUGGAAGCCAAUUCACUAAAUGAAGAUCUAUUAACCACAACCAACCAAAAGAUCCAUGGAAAACUGUAGGGCACAACGUUUAUUGUGCUCAAAUCUGAUGACUUAAGAGGGUUUUUGGAGCUAGUCACUAUACUUUUAUACGGUUUAAUUAGUUAAACCUAUCAUGGUAGUUGUGGAUUCUACUCAAAAUUUAUUUAUCAUGAUCAGAUUUAAUUUAUGCCUCAUAUUGUUUACAUUUCAGAUUAUGUACUGUACUGACUAAUUGGACUAUUGAACAAAGAAAUACUCUUUCUCUCAGACUUGACACUAACAUGUCAAGCGAGAACCAAACCCCUAAUAAAGCCUCUUAUCAACUUCUGACUCGACCAUGAAUCAGUUCGGAACCAACCAAAAUUCAUCCAAUUGGAUCACUCAACAACUAUACGAGUAAUAUAUUCUGGGCAUUUAGAUAAUUCUUCUAUAUAUCCUUGGAAUAUAUUCUGGGCAUUCUAUUAAAGCACAAGGUAUCAUCCAAAGAUUGCUAGAAAUGAAAAGUACUAAAACACGUACCAGCAAAGCAGCUACAUAAGAUUUACAUUUCCUGGACCAAUGCCGUAACAAGUACAACAACUCUAGUAAUAACAAUUCCGGUACUUCUCCUGAAUUGGCAAGAUCAGCUGCACCAAUUGCACCCUUGUGUCAAAGUCCAUGUGCCACUACUUCUCUUCUUUGCUAUGAGAAUAUGGGCAGUUGUAUGACAUUCUGUCUAUAUACUACAAUACAAGAAAAGUAUACUCCAAACUAAGUAUCCAGUUUCCAGCCUGUUAUGUGCGAAACCACUCGGAGGAUUGUUCCCUGCCUCGUGAGUUUCAUCGCUUCCCUGUCAAGUACUUAUUCUGGGUACCAUUAGCCUUGGAGGUUUCUCCAAUAACCUCGUCAUCAUCAUCGUCUGUGUCAAUUUCAGCCGCAGUACGGUUCAACCUGGUUCUCUUGCGAAUUCUCCAGCUGGGAAGGUAAAAAUUAAAGUAGUAGCUGACUAUGCUUGCUCUACUUUUGUUGGGCAGAAAUUGACUGGCCAGCUGCAGAAAAGUUUUACGCGUUGAUGAGGGAAGGUUCCUUUUCUUCAUCACAGAGUUGAACCUAAGCAUAUCCCCUAAAGUCCAGGAAUCAGUAGAAUCUUCUCCCAUCUCAUCAAAUUUCCAGGUUUGAAAAGCAGGCCCCAAUUCAGCCUUCAGUUUUCCUCUUUCCUCCACCAUAUGACGAUGAACACAGUCAACAGAUCCAGGCAUUUGGCAAUUACAAGCAUCCCCCUCGUGCGUCGAACUGUUGUUCGUCUCUUGGCUAGGUUGGUUUGGUUCAUUUCUUGACCAUAUCUUCGUACCAAACCACUUUCGAUUGUUUGGGUUGCUGGCGUACUGGUCCUUAGUGGACAAGAUAGGCAAAUAAGCUUGAAAUGGAUCUUUUUUGGGGAUUUCCUCGUACUCUGAUUCGUUAGCUACCUCCGGGAUUACCUUUGGACCUCCUGAUUCAUUCCUAAUAUAAGGGACUACCCCCCGCUCUUGCUGAAUAAAAUUUAUCCAAUCCCUUUUGCACUCCUUGGGGUUCUCAACUUUGAGUAGUCGCUUUCGCUUCUGUUUACUUGACAUGCUGGUCAUUUCAAGUCACCAACGAGGGUGUGAGACAUAGAGAUGUUCCAAUUAGAUCCGUGCGGUUGGAUAUGAAUCAAAAUAUUGUAAUUCGUAGUUCUGACGAAUGUACCUGAUGAAGUCCAGGAGAUGAAAGACUGAAUUGGUUCAGAUGGCAAAAGUUAUUGGAUCCUGGUAUUCUGCGUACAAGACGACAGAAACAUAGGAAAAGAAUAAAGGAUUAGCAAUGUUCUACAGACUUGCGAAGGAGGACAAAGCAAAACGUACAGGAGAUGUAAGACACAUGAUAUUCAUGGAAAAAAGUCGCAAGUAAAUGCAUAUUUUGCUUGCAUGUCGAUUAAUUUGACAUGUCAACGUGUACAUCAGCACUCGAUUCUUGCUCCCUAAGUAAGAGCGUUCUAAUCUCUGAAUAUUAUGCAAAGGAAAACAAUAAUUUCUUAAGAAAUUCUGUAAGUCUGAUGACCGAAAGUUACAAUAAAAUUAUAAUGCUCAAUAUGAUAGCAACUGCAAUCUAGGAAAUGGACCAUAUGAAGAAGACGAAGGAGUACAUUUCUUCAACUUUCAAUAGUUAUAUCUCCAAAAAAUAAACAUAAAAAAAAAGAAAAUUUCAGUAAUUAGAAAAUUAAAAUUGACCGAAGUGCCUUUGAUCCAAAAAUUCAAUCAUGCAAACCAAACUAGAAGAACAUACAUUUAUAAUAUGGUAAUUCAGUUACCAAAUCUAACACAUUUUAGGUUGUGAUUUUUUUCAGAAAAAAUUCAAGAAUAAGAAAAUCUUGCAAGCCCGCUAAGGAAACCUUGUACUCCAUCUAUUUUUCUCGUCUCUACCAUUAUAUAGUUAUCUAUCGUUCCUGCUCUGCAAAAGUCAUCCGAAACUCAAGGCUAAUUUUGGCAUUUUAUUGGUUGAACCAGCUCCAAGUACAACCCUAUAUUGUAUAUUCCGCAGGCCGCAAAGUAUAGAGCUGUAAUCCAAGUAAAUAAAACAAGAAAAGUUUAUAUUAAAAAAAAAGAAAAGGAACGGUGAUAAAUUUUGUUUUUCCUCUUUCUUUUCUCGAGCCCGCCAUUUUUCAAAUUCAAUAUCGAAACAAAAAUACAAAAAAGAUAAUCGAGAGAGUUCUCCGAGUCGUUUCAACCAAAUAUUACCCGACAUUAACGAAAAUACCAGCAGAAAGAAAUAUUACCUCUCCAAUACAAACAGAAACCUUUCGCCUGAGAAUAGUCUGCGGGUUCUGCAAUGAAGAAUGGUAAUAGCCCAGUUCCUCUGUAAUGUCGUUGAAAUCUGACGUUCUCCUCUUACUUGUUGUCUUUACCUCUGUUUUACAGCUGGAAUCUGACUGUUAUAAUUCGUUUUUAGCGUCUGUGGUAGAUUUCUGAUCUCGUUCUCUCCUCCGAAAACGCAAAUCUUCAGAAGAAGAUGAUUCGGUUCUCUGAGUUGAAGAUUCAAUGCAAAAGAAUCAGAUAUAAUAUCGAUUCCCAUUCAAGAUAUAGCAGGUUCUCUAUUAGAUUAUGAUUUUUCAGCUGUUUUCUCCAAAGAGAUGAAGAAACUCAAGGCCCUAACCGCAAAUUUAUUGCGAUUUCAUGACUUUCUGAUCGAUGAAAUCUCCAUAUGAGAAUCGAAUGAGUCGUUGUCUUGAAAUUGUUAUGAUCACGAUAUUCAAGAAAAUAACCGAGUUUUCAGAUAAUUUUCGUAAAGUUUGAGGGUUGAGGAAAAUUUUUGAGCAAUUAAAAGAUGCAGAAGAUAAAAGAGUAGAAGUAAAAUGUAUUUUAAUGGAAGGUUAAAUUAAAGGAAAAAUUGGCUUACCUUAUUUAUAUGUGACGCAGGGGAUUCCCUUGCGCUCGCUCCCGCUUACGCUUAGUUUGAUUCAUAUAGCUUUAGUUUGAUUCAUAUAGCUUGUUGACGACGAAUCAAUACUUAAUGAGCUAAUGCUGUGGGUAAUUGUGAAAUAAUAAAAUAAAGUCGUAAAUAUUGUCCUAUUUAUGGACUAUAUGAUUUACUUGUUUCAGUCAAUCAAAAGACACCUGCAAAUGAUUUAUGAACUGUAUGAUUUACUUGUUUCGAAGAGUCAAAAGACACCUGCAAAUGGCACUGCUUUAAAAGAGAGAUGUUAAUGACAUUUCUUUAUUUGUUAAUGACAAUCUAUUUGACCUUUUCAGCGUGUCAAUUGAAAAUUUUUUAUUGAAUUUGCAAUGCAUCUUGUUUUUAUCAUGAGAAUGUUUAACUUGUCAUUAGAACAGCAAUGUAAAUCAAAUCGUAUUAGACGAUUUUCAGUAAUUCAUUAAUGAAAUUUGCUUUUUAUCAAAAAAAAAUCUGAAAAAAAUCAAGGAGUAUCGUUAGCGAAUAAAAGCGCCAUCAGCCUAUCUCAUUUUAAAAGUACUACUAUCAUUUGCAUAUCUACGAGUCCAUUAAUAAAUAAACCCAUUUCUUAUCAUGAAGUAUGAAUCUUCUAUACCAAACAGCGAUUUGGAUUAUCUGCUUGUAUUGCCUCACAUCCCAUUUCAAUCACACUAAUGUUGAGAACUUAUUUCCUGUUUGGAGUUGGAUGAGAAGGAUUGAAGAUCAAUAGGAGGGGUAAAAUAAUACACGAAUAGUUUGAUGGGAUAAGGCUAUGAAUUAGAAUGUAUCACCACUUAGGAUCCGGUUCAUUGCGGUUGUCGCAGAGGGCAUUUGAUGGCUAGCCUGAUUCGAGCUGUCAAAUGCAUGGUGCGAUUGCUCCUGCAACUGCACAAAUCCUAUUACUUAUCGACCACAAUGAGCUCAACUUAUGCAUAUGCUAGAAUUGGGCAAGGUUUUCUUAUGUAGGAUGGAGGACACGCAAAAGAAAUGAAGCAUUAGGGAAACUCGUAAUGCUCUUUGGUGCCCAAAUAAUUCUUGUGCACGGCCAUAUAUGUACGCAAAGAUGCUAUGCAUAAUUCAUAUUCAGUCGAAUGCAGUAGUCUGGGACAAUCUUAUCACAAGCACGAAAUACUCAAAUCGAGCAAAUAAAGCUUCAAUGAACACAAUUGUAAUUCAAAUUCAAGGCUUCAAGCAGCGUUUUCUUGAGGAGCAUUGGCUGAAAACAUAGGACUUUUCAAAUAUGUAAAAUGAGCAAUGCCACAGGCAAUAAUUACUCAACAUCAAAGCCUUUUUGCUGAAGCUCAGAUACGACUUCAUUCUUCAUCCUCAUCCACAGCUUAAAAGCCUCCUGCUCAAACUUCUUGUCCUGCAAAUUCUUUUGAAAAUUGAUCGAAUCUUUAUCUGUUUCGAUGAUGCCUUUCGGCCCAAUUGUAGUUCCAAUCAUCCCACCCUUAGCAAUGAACUCCUCCAUUGCCUCCUUGUCACCUGGAUAUGGAAAAUUUGGGCGCUCGUAGAGAUGGGCUAGCUCCUGUUCCUCCUUAGGCUGGGGCUUUAAAGUCCACCAGCCAAGCGGUGACGUCUCGUUCCACAGCCAAGCUACGCCAAAAAGCGUGUAGGUGCACAACAAUGCCUUGCCUAUUUGCUUCCAGAAGUGAUAGUCUUCUUUUCCUAGCCCAACUUUCUUCAAAAAGUUCUCGGCGUAAAACAGACCUGAAAGAGAUUCAUGCAUAGAUUAGAAGUAUGCAGCCAAUUGGUUGAGGCUUUUCGUCGAACGACUUGUGUCAAUUACCCAUGUACACUGACAGAUAAUAAAUGAAACCAUAGAAAUAAGCAGGAACUUAUACCUGCUUCAUUUUUUAAAAAUAUCUUGGUACCGAAAGAGAAUUGGCACGAAAAUUUGCAUUUUACCUGUUCUCGUGUCCUGAAAUCGUUUGCGAACCAUUGAUGAAAGAGCUCGAGAAAGAGAGCGUCGGGGUGUUCAGGAGCGAAAGCUGAAUAAUGCAACUGGUAUAUACGGUCGGUCUGCUUUUGGGUUUCGUGGGUAGUGAGUAUCUAGCCUAUCAAUAAUUUUAAGAUUGUCAGAAAUUAAUUAGGUCUUUCAGGAUAGAAUUGGUCUAGAAAUUUUUAUUUUUAUUAUUUUUUAAAAAUGGUCAUGAAUAAUUUCAUUUCAAAGCAGCGCCUAAUUACCUCAAGAAUCUUGAAAGUCACGUCCAAAAAACCACGUAAUCAGUGAAUCUUUAUUCAUAUACCUCAAGUCUUAACGUACUUUUGUUAGCCCUAUAUCAUUGUUUUUAUUUUUUUAAUUCCAAAAUCACUGGGUUACGGCCUUGACGACCUUCAAAGAUGUGUGUUGCUUAAGGAAUAAGUGAGGAGUAGAACCUUGUUUUUUUUUUCCCUAACGAUAACAGUUAAGCAGGAAACUUUUGACUUGGACCAUUUAAUGUAGUAAAAACAAGCUAAAAGUCUACUUUGACCCAACCACUUGUUUUACAUCAUAUAUUGCCAUGCAAACCUGUCAAGAAAUUGCUGUAAUCUUGUAAUUUGUGAUAUCCCAAUAAACUGUUUCAUCUAUGCAAACAAACAGUCAUUGAAGAACAUAUGUUUGAAAUUCUCAACAACUCUGACGGAUGCAUCUUUCUGCAGUGAGGAAACUUGCCACCUUGUAUACCUCAUCAGCGAAGAGUCCCAACUGGUUUUUUGUACGUGUACCACUUUGCAAUGAGGAUAUAAGCUCCCAAAUUCAGCACGCUUAGCACAGCCAAGAGCCAGAAGAAGUAAUCGGUGUGACCGCGAUUAAGAUUAUUCGGUAUCCAACCAGGUUUUCCAUUCUUUGUGCUAAUUCUUGUCACAAUGGUCACAAGCAAGGAACUCAAGUAGUUUCCCAAGGCAACUGUGGUCAGGGAGAGAGCAACACCCAAACUUCUCAUGGCAUCAGGUGCUUGCUCAUAGAAGAAUUCCAGCUGUCCAAUGAAUGUGAAAACUUCUGCACAACCUAUGAUGAAAUACUGAGGCACCUGCCAAAAUAUUGACAUGGGUAUCUCUUCAAGAUCAUAGGAGUUAUGUCUUUUCACAUAGCGUAAUCUAACAAGUUCCAAGAUCCCUGCUGAGAGCAUGGCAAAGAUCGAUAUGAGGAGCCCGAUUCCCAUUCUCUGAAGCUGAGUCAAGCCAUUUUUGUGACCUGUGAACUUUCUGGCAACCGGGACAAUAAUUCGGUCAUAAACAGGAACCCAGAAUAUGACACUCAGGGUGUCAAAAAUCCCAAGUGAUGCAGGCGGGAUUUGGAAGGUAGAAUGUCCCACAUAAGUAUUCAUCGUUUCUCCUUGUAAGACGAACAGGGUGCUCAUUUGACCAUACACACUGCUGAAGAUGAUACCUGUUGCCCAUAUAGGAAGCAAUCGUAUUAUGGCUUUUAGCUCCUCAACUUGAGUCACCGUACAAAGUCUCCAAGGAUCUACAGAGCCCCUUUUAUAGUCAGAUUCCCUCUCAACGGCUGCCUUGUCAAAGAAACUGUUUAGGAUAACAUUAUACAAUAUUUCAGUUUUGAAACAAUGCAAGGGGCAAGCAAGCAGUUGACACGGCAAAGGAGAUUGUUCAAGAUUAAAUCAAGAAAGGCUUCAUUUCAGCCAUUGGUUUUGAAAGAACUGUAAAAGUACACAAGACGUGUUAACUGCAAAUAUAUUUCUUAUAUUACAUUUGAAGUGAUGAUUCCUAUAGAACUAUUCAAAGGAAGGUGUUAUGCCUUUGACCAAAUGAAUAAGGAGUUAUGCCAAAGCAGUGUCCGUUCCUUUCUUGUCAAGUUUCCGAGAGGUAGAGACUGUUUGUUUUUAGCCAUUAAAAGAAGAAGUUCUGAAACCUUAAAAAUGACUACCCAAUAAAAAUUCUUAAUUCUUUAGAAAAUUUGAGUAUGUGUGUGUAUAUAUAUAUAUGUUUAUAUAUAUACAUACAUAUAUAGAUGAAUAUAUAUAUGUUUAUAUAUAUACAUACAUAUGUAUAUGAAUAUAUAUGUAUACAUAUAUGUAUGUAUGUAUGUAUAUAAUCAAUUUUUUCCCUGAAAAUUGCAUAGUUAUCCAACGUAACUCCACUUUUUCCAUUCAAUACUUCAAAAAAGUACCAUCAGAUAGAUGACUGGCUAAGAACCAUUUAAUGAUCCUUUGAAUAUCUUUUGAACUCAAUCUUGAAAGCAAGCAAAAAUUAUCAAUCAAGUUUAAAACCACGAGGUAGGCAGGAUGAUAUGGUGCUUACACAAGAUCACUAGUAUGCCCAAGCUUCCGACUUCCUUCUAUUGCAGAUUCAGUAUCUUUGCAUUCAUACAACAAAGACUUGUCUUCAGGCACUUCAACUUUAUACUUCUUGAAAGAUGCAACAAGCACUUGGCACAAGCGCGUCAAAGGGCUUCCUCCUGGUUUUUGGUUACGAUACAAUCGAGAACCUGAAAAGAAACUAACCGCAGCAAUCGCCAUUGUUACGGCUGGAAUGCCAAAUCCCCAUCCCCAACCCACAUUAUCUUGUACCCAGACCAGCACUGAUGAAGCAAUAAGUGCACCAAUGUUGAUUGAAAAAUAGAACCAAUUAAAGAAAGAAGCCUUGUGCUUCUUUUCAACCUCAUCUGUGUCAUCAAACUGAUCGGCUCCAUAGGAAGAUACACAAGGCUUUAUACCACCAGUUCCCAAUGCUAUGAGAUAAAGAGCUAAAAAGACAACAGAACUCUGUGUUCCUGUUGCAUGGCAAGAUUCCUUUCCAUGACAGGUUGGCUUCAGACCGGGGAUUGAGGCUGAUAAUGUCAACAAUGUCAUCCCCUGCACAUCAAAUGGUUAUCAUUUUUGAAGCUUGUUAACCAGAUCAGAAUGUAUUAAGAAGACUGGAAAUUUUGAAAUCAUUUAAAUUUGCUUUCUUAUAAAAUCUGUAUUUCUUUAUUAGAACAUUUCAUCUGUCUAAUUAUUGAACUAAACAUGGGUUAUUGUGCUUGCUGGAGUUUGAUAAUUUACCAUGUAUAGAACUAAGAGAUUGCAUUUCUCUACAUUGAUGAUGUGGCCCAAAAUACACUAUGAAUCAAGGAUAGGCAGAAGUAGACCAGACAAGAAAUGGUUGUGCCCCAAAUUACUCCACUUUAACGUUAACUUCUUUCCUACAUGUACCAUGUAAUUUUAUCUAAUUUCUUCAGCGCGAGUCAUACCUACCUAAGUUGCAAAAGAAUUUGUGCAUAUACAUUUCAGCCGAAAAGAGAUUACCAGAACAUAGAUGAUUGAGAAACAAGCAAUUGUCCAAAAUCUUCCAAGAUAUGCAUCUGCAAAAAAUGCUCCAAUUAAGGGUGUGAUAUAGCAUGUCCCAGACCAAUCAGAUACAUUUUUAGAAGCAGUGGCAUUGUGCUGUCCAAGUCGAUGCUUGAAAAAUAGCACCAGAUUAGAACUCAUUCCAUAAUAUGCCAAUCUUUCACAACAUUCAUUUCCUACAGUAAAAAUCAACAAAGGAGCAUAAGUUUUGCCUGAAAUAUCAAUCUUCACCUCUGAUAAACCUGAUGAAAAGCAAAUUAUUUUGGUACCUAAGAUGUAAGGACAGGCUCUCCAAGUCCCAGUUUCAUUUUUCUUGGCAGGAUUACCACGGCAGUCAACUGUCCCGUCCUUAGUAUACAAGUCAUCCUCUGCCAUAGCUUUCUGGAUACCAAUCCCUGCCACAAGAGUAGACCACUGCAGAGCUUUUGCAGCAGCAAAGCCAAGGCAGAACUCAAAGAUUACUUGAACCUGCAAAUUUGAUUGCAAGUAAUCAAAAUUUCUUCAGCUAAUUAGCAUAGUCCAAGUGGUGGUUAGAAGGACGGAGGUUACCAUCCCGCCUUUGUUGUUGGUACAACUGGCAAUAUAUUAGUAUUUAGUUUUUCAUACCAAAAAUUCUUAAGUAUAUGAACCAUUUAUAAAAAACAAAAGUCAUUAAUCUCCUGAACUGGGACUAUAUAGCAGCACCUAGACACACAGUAAUAGAAUAUUGAUGACAACUUAAGGUUUAUAAUUCAUUGAUUUAGUACGAUGUUACACUUCCCUUAGAACAAACUUUGUGUCUGUUUUUCUUUUUAUUUUUCUUUUUUUUUUAAUUCAAUCUGUCAUUAAUUUGUGAGACCUCUUUUGCAAUACAUGAUAUCAUAGGCCCUUGUUUUUCUCAAGGAACCUCUUCCUAGUUAAAUACAAAUUCUAUACGCCACUAUCCUCAACCUUAGAGAAAGCACGUUCCUUUCCAUUAACAUGUGGUACUAUGCAAAUUUUGAGCCUAAAUGUUGAUUCACUUUUAAUAGAUUAGUUUCCACAAAAAGGAUUCAUAAAAUAAAGUACCAUAAUUUUUAGAGUCAAUCUUUCCUACGUUGACGGUGUAUAUACUAUCAGCGUUGUUGAAUUUAUGACGUGUGCAAAAGUUGAAUUACAAAUUCAAAUUUUGCAUAGUUAUCAUUCAUCCACCAACUGACAGGAUAGGAAAGAUUAAUCCAAUUUUUUAUUGAAAAACUUCAGAUCUCUCUCCAUACUCUUCUCCCUGAUCCCUCCUCUCUAUCUAUUCCUAACACUAGCCCUCUAUCCGCAAACUUCACUGACCUCUCUUUCCCCUACCCUGCAUCAUAAAAGCAAAAUAGUAGUAGUAUGUAUUUUCUGAUGGGCUAACCACUCUAAAACAAUCGAAUCCACUCAUUCAAUAGAUUCCGUAUUCGAAGCUCAAGAUAAGCACAGAAGGUUCCAAUCAUGCAUCACAAAAGAACACUGAGAAUUAGCCAAUCAAGAAAUCAAAAGCCAUAAACAAAAAGAUUAGCUAAGAAUGAUAGCAAACAGAACGAAAAUCAAAAUACACACCUGAAGCUGGCGGGACAAUAAUCAGUCAGAUUUACGUAGCUGAGAAAAAGAGCCUUAGCCCAGAAAAGUUGAGGACAAGUGCGAAUAAGGUUGAUGAUUAAAAAUCAGUAAAACCCAAAGAUUGGACGUUUACUAGAAUGCAGAAUGAGAAUCAUAAGCGUCAACUUUUGGAGACAGUUGCGUCCUUGUCCCAACUCCAGUACUACUUGCGCUGAGCUACACAGUGACGGGAAUAGUCAACUGAAGCAUGGGGAGGAAAAGGAAAAGGAUGACUAGGGAAAAGCUACCAACCAGCAACAGCGUGCGCCCACAAAUGCUGGAAGAAUUUUCACUUGUUUCGGGAUUCAUCAUAUUUCCAAUUCACCGACUGAUACUGAAUUGGACUUGAAAGAUCCCUUGGGCCGGCGAGGCGGCUACAGUAGUGCUAGUGCCAGCUCACACUUUCCAUUAAUUGACCCUUUUACCCUUUACGGCGGUUUGGUCCAAAUGCUGCCACCUCCCUUCCCUUUUCUUUCCUUUUCUUUUCAUUCGUUUUUGGUCGAGCGAUUCUAGAUUUAUAUUUUGUUGUUGAGUUGAUCAAAUAUGUUUCAUAGCGCGUUUAAGAUUAGAUGUCCUCAAUUGGAUUUUAUUAGAGAGAUACAAUCAUGAAGAGAGAGCGACUAGAAAAUAAUAACCAGACAAUUGAUCUAUUUUUUUUUUUUUUGGGCACAUUUUGAAAUAGAAUUAUAUUCCAUGAUCCUACUGAAUUAAAUUAACCGUUGUUAGCUAUUUCGAUGGAAUAGCAACUACGUAACUGGUUUUGCAACGUCCAUGAAUUCUAUACUUUUUUGGAGCAAAACAAGUGAAUGCCAUUUUUUUUUUACUGGUAUCAGUGUCAUGGAUUUGUUUUCGGGAAAGAGAGAGAGAAGGGGGGGAUAGAUUUGUCUUUUAAAUAAGAUUGGAUAGAGAAGAUGACGUUUUCCGCUGCCGGGAUUGUCAAGUAUUUGAUUAUCCUCAGUUGACUACAAGUUUGGAUUUAAGGAUUAAGGAUAAUAAUUGGAAAAAUGGUCAUCCAUUCAAAUGAUUGAUUCCCCAGUUGAAAAUAAUAUUAAAAAAAAAAAAGAGGUUAUGGUCCAUUCAGACGGAGACACUCAUCCAAUCUAAUUAUUAGUGUUUAAAAUUUACUCAAUUGUUUUGUGGGUUUUUUGCCCUAUUUUUUUUUUUCACCAUAAAAUCACAAGAUAAUCGCUUAAAGCAGCGUCGUUGAAUUGACUCAAAUAUUUACGCCACCUUCCUUUUCUUUUCUUUUCUUUUUUCAUUUUUCAUUCGAGCAAUUCUUUUUUACUGUUGUGUUGAGCUGAUCAAAUAUAUUUCAUUGCACGGUCAAAAUUGGAUGUCCUCAAAUUAGAUUUUAUUGGAGAGAUAUAAAAUAGUCAUGAAGUGAGAAUGACUAGCAAAUAGUGACGAGACACUUUUAUUGUCAUGGAUUUGUCUGCCCCAUACUCUAUUUUUUAAAGGGAUGUAUUUGUCUUUAAGUAAGAUGGGAUUGAGAAGAUGACGUUUGCUCCAGCAAAAGAUGAAUGAUAUUCCACUGCCAGAUUGAUAAGGAUUUGAUUAUUCUCAGUUGGCUGCAGCACUGAUAAUUGGAAAAAUGGUUAUCCACUCCAAUGAUAAUUCACCAAUUGAAAAAAAAAAAAAAAGAAAGGGUUAUGGCCAGUUUAGACGGAGACGCUGGAAAAUUAUUUUAUCUAUCAAGGAUUGUUAGAUCAAGUGACAGGCAACUUAAUAGGUAUCUCUUAAAUAAGGUCUCGAUUCGAGGCUAGCGGAUGAUGAAAAUCUCACAGCGAAUUUGUAUCUUCCUACGAUUCGUUCGUUUUUGACCUUUCUCAUCUAUUAGUUCCUUCUGGCCUCAGACCAACGGAUGACUCUUCUAUUCUCCUUUGUUUACUAGGAAUGGAAACGUAAGACCGACGGGACGUUAAAGGUCGGCACCAAAGCAUGAAGAGAGAGCAAAAUCAAUCUCUUCGCACAAUGCAAUUGUAAUUGUAUACUUCUCAUUUUUCUUUUUUGUUUUUUCUACGCCUAUUCCUACUCUAGCCUAUUCUAAAAGGAGGUCUAACUGGAUCAAUGGAGGGAUCAACGAUUUUUUCUACAUCUAUUCCUACUCUAACCUAUUCUAAAGGAGGUCUAACUGAAUCAAUGGAGGGAUCAACAGGGACUGAACCACCAUCGGAUCAGACGGAUGCACUACAUACUCGUCUGAAUAUUUUAAAAAAUCGCAUAAUGUAACAAUUCGUGAGAGGCAAGGACUUGACAACUUGUCUCCCACCACACUAAACCUUAAGGACUUGGCAGUGACCAUUGUUUUUUAGUCAUCUUUGGUUUUAGUGAUUUUCACACUUCACAGAAGACAAAAGACAAGAAUUUCAGACUGUAUAUCAUGAUUACGGCAUUGCACCUAAUCAGGUUGCUGGCAUUUCUCACUUCUUUCUUCCCAAGAUAAUUAUCGUGCAUACACCUUUGAUAUCUUUAUCAAGUUACAUAUGAAUCAUAGAUUUGAAACAGCUGAUUUUUGCUGAUAUGCUCGAUACUUUUCUGCAUAAUUAUUAGAAGAUUUUAAUUGUGUACAAGGUCGAGCAGGAAGCCAAGCUAUCUAUUUCGAUUUUACUGUCUCGUUGAACAAAGGAAGACGGAGAACUCUAUGCAAUACUUAAGUUACCCUUAAACCGUAAUCUCACAUUUUCUUCUUUUUCUAUGUUGAAAUUGCAAUCAUUUAUCACCGGAGAGUUUAGUUCCGACCGCCUUUUUGUAUGUGUACCUUUGGGCAACCGCAAGAAAAACUCCAAAAUUUAGCACCCCGAGCCCAGAUAGGAGCCAGAAGAAGUAAUCGAGAUGGCCAUAAUUGAAGUUGUCCGCUAUCCAUCCUGGUUUUCCACCCCUGGUGCUGGCUUUUGUGACAAUUUGCACUAACAAAGAACUCAAAUAGCUACCGAGUGAUCCGGUGGUGAGCGAUAGAGCAGCGCACAAGCUUCUUAUGGAAUCAGGUGCUUGUUCAUAGAAAAACUCCAGUUGUCCAAUGAAUAUGAAAACUUCUGCACAGCCUAUUAUGAAGUACUGAGGAACCUGCCAGAAUACUGAAAUUGGUAUCAGCUUUGCAUCAUACAGGUUAUGCCUCCUCACUAUUCCAAGCCUAACGAUCUCUAAAACAGCCGCAGUUACCAUGGCGAGAAUUGCUAUGACCAUUCCAAUGCCCAUUCUCUGCAGCUGUGUCAAGCCAUUUUUCUGACCAGUAAUUUUUCUGGCAAAGGGGGUGAUUAUUUUGUCAUAAAUUGGAACCCAGACAAUGACACUGAGAGUGUCGAAAACACUAAGGGAUGCUUCUGGGAUCUUGAAUCUAGUGUUUCCUAAAUGUGUAUCCAUGACCUCGGCUUGCGACACAAAUAAAUUCCCCAUUUGGCUGUAAACAGCGCUAACGAUAAUGCCAGUGGCCCAAACAGGUAGCAAUCUUAAGAUUGAUUUUAGCUCCUCCACUUGUGUCACAGUGCAAAGUCUCCAUGCGCUUACUUUUGAUUCAUUUGUGCGAUCAGAUUCUGUCUCCACCGCUGCCUUGUCAAAGAAACUGCAAAUGACCCAACAGUCUUGAUUUAGAAUACCUAAAGAGAAACAUAAUAGCAAUAAAAGCUGAAGUUUACUGAGCAAUGCAAUCAUUGCUCUUUCACCUCCCUUUGUUGAUAUGUAUAAACAGAACCAUUUGAACAUUUUUAAUCAACUCUGUCUCUUCUUCAUUUUAGUUUCUUCCGUUUUCUAUUUAACAAUAAAAUUACACCGGAGGUACCAUCUUUAGUUACAGACUCCAGUGGUUUGAUCAUUUCAUCUUGCUUUCCGAACCAACAGAAAAUAAUAUACUGGAAAACUGACACAGCUAAAGGCUUUUUAUCUAAAAGCACACCUGAAGGCUUUUGUGUGUUCAAGCUUGCGACUGCCUACAAUAGCACUUGUCUCAUCUGCAACCUCGUAGAGUUGAGAUUUGUCAGCAGGCAGUGGAACGUCAUAUUUUCUCAGAGAUGCCACCAAGACCUGGCAUAGGCGAGUCAAGGGACUGCCUCCUGGUAUCUGAUAACGGUAGAUUCGUGUACCUGAAAAGAAGGAUACCACAGCUAUCGCCAUAGCUGCAGCAGGUAUACCAAAACCCCAUCCCCACCCGACAUGUAAUUGUAUAUAGACCAGAAAAGAUGAAGCAACAAGUGCCCCAAUGUUGAUACUGAAGUAGAACCAAUUGAAGAAAGAGCUUUUGAAGUUUUUCUCAGUUUCAUCAGCAUCAUCAAACUGGUCUGCUCCAUAGGAUGAGACACACGGCUUGAUCCCUCCAGUUCCUAGCGCUACCAGGUAGAGUGCAAGGAAGCUUACUGUUGUCUGAAUGCUUGUUGGGUCGCAAACAUCUUCAGCAGAACAGGCGGGUUUUAGGCCCGGGACGGACGCCGACAAUGUUAAAAGUGUCAUGCCCUGUCACACAAUUAAAGUCAUCUUUUGGCAUCUUAUGAUCAAAACAGAUCUCAAACCAAACAGAUUACUAUGCUACUCAGCUUGGUUUCCACUAAAUAUAAGCAAAUAAAAUUUUUGAAAAAGUUUCACGGCUACAAGCAGCUCGGAAACUAAUGAAACAAUACAUAUAAACCAAGGAAGGCUGCCGGCCUGCGCCUGCCUGCUUUGUCUACAUGUGGCCAAGAUGACAAGUAGCUUUAUCCAUCUGGAUUUGUUAAAACGGAAAAACAACCAACCAUAAAAUGCAAUACAUACAAUGAAGUAGAUGAUUGAGAAGCUGGCGAUCGUCCAAUAUCUUCCAAGACAUGAAUCCGCAAGAAACGCUCCUAAUAAUGGCAUGAUAUAGCAUGUUCCUGACCAAUUUGAGACGUUUCUUGACGCUUCAGCAGUAUGCUGAUUGAGUUGCUUUGUGAAAUAGAUCAUCAGAUUGCUGCUCAUUCCGUAGUACGCCAAUCUUUCACAGCAUUCAUUUCCUAACAGCAAAAAGAAUAAAAAGUAUAAUAUCAUCUCGCCAAGAAUGCCACGGUCCAAAUAAGAGGAAAACUAAGAUGAGACAAUUACCAAGGAUGUAAGGGCAGGCCUUCCAGGUUCCGGUUUUCCUCUUGUCAGCAGGGUUCUUACGAUAAUCAACUGUUCCAUCUUUGGUGUAAUAGUCAUCUGCUUCCAUGAUCUCCCGCAAACCGAAAGCAGUUAAGCCGCUGUUUCUCUCUUCUCCUUUGAGCAAUUACUCACACCUGGUACUCUAUGGUACCCAAGAAAGUAGUAGGCGGCAUGAAAUCAGAAAGAGGAGUCCACAAUUUAUAGACAUACACUAGCAGAUGAAUUUAUUACCAUAAUUAAUUCGCCAAGUUUGUGUGUUGAGUUGAGUGUAGGUCUCUAAAUCUGCUUUUAUGGCAUGAGAUUUAAAAGAGGAGUCCACAAUUUAUAGACACGCAUUAGCAGAUUAAUGCCAUAAUUACUUCGCCCAAAUUUGUGUGUUGAGGUGAGUAAACGGUCUCUAAAUCUGCUUUUAUGGUAUAUGAGCGACGUAAAUUUGUUUGCCAGCUAAAUCUCCAUUUUCAGCAUCUACAUCUACACCCAUCGUGGACACAGAUGUAGUCCUGGUACAUUACUUUGCAUCUGGUAUUUUCACCGUGUGGACGCAGUAAAAGUCAAGAGUGUUUGUCCUGUGGGAUCAGGGGCAUCACAAGUUUCAGUUCAGACCAAUUGCUCCUAAAGUGUAAAUAAGUAGAGACUUGAUGUAAAUAGAUUUAGGUAAGAGUGUAAAAUGAUACUGUAAUAUUGUAGUGUUAAAAUUACAAAAAUACCAUUUUAUCCUCAACUAAUCUGAAAUAGAACUUGUGAGUCCCGUGAUUCGUUUCUCUUGUGAUCCGUUCCUCUUGUGCUCUUUAAUGGGAUGGCAAAGAUAUGAUUUACUUGCUUUGAGUACUCGGCAGAGCAAUUUGUGGCCGCUUGCACACAAACAAGCACAUUUUUUCUUCAUAUUUCCAUUCCUCCAAGGUUUUGGUCUACCUAAGCAGUAGACACCACUAGAUUCGGAGAACAAAAGUUGAUUUUGGGCUUACAUUAGAUUGAUGAAACAAUGGCCAGACGAAUCACAUAGUUUUAUACCAUUUGAAACACAAACGAAUUCAACAAUGCCAUAUAUACAUUAUACAGUUCCUAGUUGCUACCACCAUGAACAGUCCAAGUCAUCGACCGGCCGACUGCAUUUAUAGCCAAUGUGUCUUUUUCCAUACGAACACGAAAUGCUAGGCUUCAAAAGAUUAGAGAAAUUAAUGCUUACCACCAAUGGCCUCUAGCAUGAUCAACAUAAAAAUGGAGGAAAAUGCGUGCCGGAAAGAAAUUCAAACAACAACUUUGAAAAGAAAAGAAAACAUCAAAAUAAUUUCUCUAUCUGAUGAUGAAGAAGAAUAAUGUCAAAUUGGAAUAAUCCCUAGUAUGCUGCAGUAAGAUGUGGUAAACUCACGUUAGAGAAAUUGAAAAAGAAAAGGAAAGGAGAAAGAUGGGAAGAACUCACGUACAAGAAGUAGGAUGGCCAAAGUAAGUCUGAUGGGGAGCAGCAAAACGUACCUUGAAAAGAUAAAAUGGCAAAUUACGUACAUACUCCCUAAAAUUUUGCAUAAUGCCUGAUGAUCUUUUUAAGAUUUUAAAAUAGUCAUGUAAUCCCGUAUAGUUCCACAUAGUCAGUUGGGGCGAUUAUACCAAAGGCGUUCUAGAAGUGUGUAUGAUGAAAUGAUAAUAUCCAUUUAACUUCUCUAUAGUUUGCAUAAAUAUUCACUUUAUUUCCUUAAAGUAUUUACAUUUUUUAACAUAAUCUCCUUGUAGUUUUAUAGAUAGUUAAGAUGUAGUCUGAUUUAACAUUUUAAGUAAGGAGCACUAUUAGUAUUUCAAUUAAUAACAUUACAUAGGUUAUUUUUCGUUAAAUUUUCACUUUAUUUGAAACCAUAAAAUGGUGAAAUAGACAUUUAGAAACAUUACAGAUGCCAUGUAGCAAUAGAUGAAAUCACCGGGGGGGUCAUUUAUAAUUUACCCGAGAUCAAAUGACCGAUUGGUCGAACUCACAGGUGAAAGAAAGGAUCUUAGAAAGAAAUGCAGACUUCCUUAACCCUGUGCUCUUUAGAAAAUAUUCAAGCAAUGAAUCCAAUCGCAUUUUAACCAGGAUUUAGUUAAUAGUAAUUCAAUGAGUGGUUGGACACAUUGAAUAAUCUCUCACUUUGUGAAACUGCAGUGAAUUGUCAUCAACUGGCAGUCUCCAUAAAUGGCGGGCUUCAAUAAAACUACAUUAACUGCAAAUGUAUCUGUUUGAUUCCAUUUCGAUUGAGCAUAUCUAUAGAACUGUUGAAAAGAACUUCUUAGGCCUAUAAUCAAAUGAAUAAUUUUUCUGACUUUUCAUCAUGAUAUCUUGAUAAUCACCAUUCAGCAUAUAGGAGUCUACUGAUGCCUAAUCAGUGCAUGGAAAUGGAGACUCAGUGAUUAACAACAAAGAAAACCAGAACAUAAAUGGUUGAGACAACUAUUGUGCCAAAUCUUCCUAGAUAGGCAUUUAAGAGAGAGAGGCUCUUCAGGGGUGCGACGCAGCUGUUGGAUGUGCCAAACCAAGUACAGACGUUAUUAGAAGCAGUGAGUGGCCUUGUAUCUGGCCAAGUUUUUGUUUGUUUGUUUUUUUUUUUGGGUAAAAUAAGGUGGUUAACAUAAAUUAAACAUUAUCAAUUACAAUCAUCCUGGGUGUACACUACAAACCCAUUACAUCUUGCAGCACAAUAUUAGAAAUAGUAGCAGGGCAAGAAUCGAAACUACAAAAGGUGGUAAAAUAGAGGUCUCCGUCUUGGCAAAAGCAUCAGCACGUUGGUUCCCUUCAGAGUGAACGUGCAUGAUAAUAAUCUGCGGGAAUCUAGACUUUAAAGAGUCCUGCAACCAGCAGUAAGAGGGGAUAGAUAGUUCAUGAGAGAAGAAAAUAUGUAUUAUUAACAAGAAGAAAAUAAUCUCACAAGAGUCAACUCCCACAUUUAAACAGCUAAUAUUCAGCGACAGUGCCAAUUCAAGUCCAUCUCGUAGUGCCCACAACGGGCCUCUCUUGAAAUCCAUGACAUCGGUUUCCUUCUCGGUGUACGUGCCAUUUCUAAACUUGGGAAAUCCCUUCACCCGAGAGCCUGUGGAGUCCCUCAACAGACCCCCUGCCGCUGCUUUGCCAGGAUUACCCAGUGCUGAUGCAUCCGUCUUCGGCUUAAACCAAUUGGGACGCGGAGGAAGGAGACAAAUGGCUCGAGUUCUAGGGCCAAGAGUUGCAAAUUCCAGCGCAGAAUUAAAGAAGCAUCAGAUUAGUACCCAUGCCGUAGCAUGCCAAUCUCUCGCAACAUUCAGUCUCUAUCAAUGAAAAGUACAGAAGAAACAUGAGCUUUGACUAGAAAACAUGUUAUUCCAAUACCUAAAACGUAUGGGCAGGCUUCCCAAGUCCUGGUUUCAUUUUUCUUGGCUGGAUUAUUACGACAAUAGACUGUCCCGUCCUAAUUAGUAUACAAAUCAUCCUGUGUCGUGUCUUUAUAGACAUCAAUUUCUGCUUGAGGAUUUGGCUUUUUCUGCAAUGUCUCAUGCAAUAGCAAAGCUAUGUCAGAACUCAAAAGAAGAUCGCCUGAACCAGCAACUUUUGAUUGCGAGUAGAAUAAAAUUUCUUCAGCUAUAAAUUAGCCUACUUCAAAAUGGCAGUUGGAGUGACGGAGGUUUACCAUUUUGCUUUGGCCUUUGGUGUAACGGGUAAUAUACUUUACAAAGACUGAGCUUAAUAUACAGUGAAAAAAAGCACAAACCAUUAUAUCUCCUGCUCAGUAAAUAAUUAGCAGCAUUUAGAUGUACUCUAAUUGAUUAUAAAUUACAACUUGCAAUCAUGAUGGUUCUUUGAUUUACUUUACACUUCCUAUUAAACAGACUUUUGACCUGUCAUUAUUAAGUGAGACCCAUUUUGUACUACAUAAUACUCCCUCUCUUUUUUUAUAACUGACGUUUAAGAAAUUUGCUCUAAUGUAUUUUUAUCUGUCGUUUUAUUAUCUCCCUACACUAUUAAUUAUUUUUUCACAAUUUUACCCUUUUAUCUCUCUUUUUCAAUACAGGGUUCUUAAUUACUACUCUAGUUUGGUGGGAGUUAGUUUGCAUUACUUUUGGCCUAGUAAAACAGCACCAUUUAGUACUCUAGUGAGAGAAAAUAUGGGUGAAUUGGACAAUUAAUGAGGGUACAAAAGAAAAGUAGUGUACAGAUUUAAACAAUACAAAAUUUUUCUUAAUUAGUGUGUAAAAUCUUAAACGUCAGUUAUAAACUCAAUAAGUACGUUUCCUUUCCUUCUUUCCCAAUCGAUUGGAGACAUCACGCCACGAUGUUCAUGGCAAUGCAAAUUAUAGUCCUCAUAGCUAAACUCAAUAAAAUAAACAUAUGCUUAUCGUGGAUUCUUCUCCUGUACAUUUCUCCCUAGCGGUGCAUUAUUAAAUUAGUAUUAAGCACACCCACGUAUGUGUGUUUGUAUAUGGGUCAAAUUAAGCACACUGUCGCCACGUGGUUUUAGUGCUUGUGUGCAUCGUGAGUAGUGAUGCUCCACCGCAUGAAAACAAAAACAAAAACAAGGGACUGCGAGAGGAUUUCCAAAAGUAAUCAAUUUAUGUACAGUACAGGAUCGAAGCAGAAUAUAAAAAGCUAUUCACAUCAAACGAAGUAGUAUUCGUUUUACCAUCUAGCGGAACAAAGAAAAUGCAAAAACAUAAAACUUCUAAGCUGCCCUUUAACCCCAAUCCCACUUCUUCUUCGAUUCUGAAGGAGCAGAUUUAUUUAUUUUUUUUUUUUUUUUAAUCAGCGAAGGGUUCCGACUGCCUUCUUGUAUGUAUACCUCUGGGCAAUCACAAGAAAAACUCCAAAGUUUAGCACGCUAAGCGCAGCCAAGAGCCAGAAGAAGUAGUCCAGAUGACCAUAGUUUAAGUUGUCCGGUAUCCAUCCUGGUUUGCCACCCCUGGUGCUGGCUUUUGUGACGAUCGUUACUAAAAAGGAACUCAGAUAGUUGCCAAGUGCGGUGGUGGUGAGCGAUAGAGCAGCGCACAAGCUUCUCAUGGAAUCAGGUGCCUGUUCGUAGAAAAACUCUAGCUGUCCAAUGAAUGUGAACACUUCUGCACAACCUAUUAUGAAGUACUGAGGGAUCUGCCAGAACACUGAAAUUGGAAUCAGCUCUGCGUCGUAUAGGUUAUGUCUCUUCACUAUUCCAAGCCUAACAAUCUCUAGAACAGCUGCAGAUACCAUAGCAAAAACUGAUAUGACCAGUCCGAUGCCCAUUCUCUGCAGCUGGGUCAAGCCAUUUUUGCGGCCUGUAAUUUUUCUGGCAAAAGGGGUUAUUAUUGUGUCAUAAAUCGGAACCCAGAUAAUGACACUGAGUGUGUCAAAAACGCUGAGUGAUGCUUCUGGGAUCUCAAAUGAAGUUUUUCCCAAAUGGGUGUCCAUGACUUCGGCUUGUGAUACAAAUAAGUUCCCCAUUUGACCAUAAACGGCACUGAACAUAAUACCAGUGGCCCAAACAGGUAGCAAUCUUACGAUUGAUUUCAGCUCCUCCACCUGUGUCACGGUGCAAAGCCUCCAUGCACUCACUUUUGAUUCAUUUGCACGAUCUGAUUCUGUCUCCACUGCCGCCUUGUCAAAGAAACUGCAAAUAUAUAACACAACAAUUUUCAUUUAGAAAUCUGGGACUGGCAAUUUCAAACCUAAGGAGAGGCAUGAUAGCAAUACAAACUGAAGUAUACUUGGCAAUGCAGUCAUUGCUGUCUCGUCUCGCCUACAUGCAUAAAGUUGUUAAGGAUGUGUGGACCACUAAUGUUUGAACAGUUUCAAAUCAACUCUUGACUCUUCUUAAUUUUAGUUUCUUCUGUUUUCUAGUAAACAGCAAAAUUACAAAAGAUACUACCAUCUUUAGUUACAAACUUCGGUGGUUUGAUCCUUUCAUCUUUUCUUUGUGAACAAAAAGACAAAAUACGUUAACUGGAAAGCUUACGAAUUAUCUCAAAGCAUACCUGAAGGAAUCUGUGUGUUCAAGCUUGCGACUGCCUACAAUAGCACUUGUCUCAUCUGCAACCUCAUAAAGUUGAGAUUUGUCAGCAGGCAGUGGAACGCUAUGCUUUCUGAAAGAUGCCACCAAGACCUGGCAUAAGCGAGUCAAGGGACUGCCUCCUGGUAUCUGAUAACGGUAGAUUCGGGUACCAGAAAAGAAGGAAACCACUGCUAUUGCCAUUGCCGCAGCAGGUAUACCGAACCCCCAUCCCCACCCGACAUGUAAUUGUAUAUAGACCAAUAAAGAUGAAGCAAUUAGUGCCCCAAUGUUGAUACUGAAAUAGAACCAAUUGAAGAAAGAGCCUUUGAAGUUUUUCUCAGUUUCAUCAGCAUCAUCAAACUGAUCUGCUCCAUAGGAUGAGACACACGGCUUGAUCCCUCCAGUUCCUAGUGCUACCAGGUAGAGUGCUAUGAAGCAGACUGUUGUCUGAGUGCCCGUUGGCUGGCAAACAUCCUUGGCAGAACAGGUGGGUUUUAGGCCUGGGACCGAUGCCGACAAUGUCAAAAGUGUCAUGCCCUGUAACAAAAUUAAAGUCAUUUUAUGACAUCUCAUGAUCAAAACAGAUCCCCAUGCAGCUCAGCUUGGGUUCCACUAAAUAUCAGCACAUAAAGUAUUUGAAAAUUAAAUUUAAUGAAACAAAACAUAUAAACCAAAUACCAUCUUUCACUUCUUUAGAAAAAUGAAGAGCCCAGAGUUUAAACAUUAUUAUAUGCAUGUAUUGGCAAGGGUUGUCAUUCACAUUAAAUUAAAAAAAAAAAUUUUUUGGAGGAGCUAGUUUUGACUCCCAAGACUAGACUAUUGAAAGUCAUGAAUGCUUUGCCUACACCUUUCUGUGAUGACAAAUAGCUUUGUCCUUUGGAAUUUGUUAAAAUGGAAAAAUAAUCAGCGAAAAGUGAAAAACAUACAAUGAAGUAGAUGGUUGAGAAGCUGGCGAUUGUCCAAUAUCUUCCAAGAUAUGAAUCAGCAAGAAAUGCUCCCAGUAGUGGCAUGAUAUAGCAUGUUCCGGACCAAUUCGAGAGAUUUCUUGAAGCAUCAGCAGUGUGCUGAUUGAGUUGCUUUGUGAAGUAGAUCAUCAGAUUGCUGCUCAUUCCAUAGUACGCCAAUCUUUCACUGCAUUCAUUUCCUGACAGCAAAAACAAUAAAAAGUCCAACGUUAUCAUCCCAAGCAUGCCCCAGUUCAAAUAAUGGUAAAACUCAGAUGAAACAAUUACCAAGGAUGUAAGGACAGGCCUUCCAGGUUCCGGUUUUCCUCUUAUCUGCAGGGUUCUUACGAUAAUCAACUGUUCCAUCUUUGGUGUAAUAGUCAUCUGCUUCCAUGAUAUCCAGCAAAGGGUGCGCAAUCAAACAGCUGUUUUCCCUUGCGGAAUUAAUCAAACCUGGUGCACUAUGAUGCCCAAGAAAAUUAGUCGGCAUGAGAUUCAAAAGAGAGGUCCACAAUUUAUGAACAUACAUCACCAGAAAGCAAGAUUAAUUGCGUUUUCAAUUAGGUGUUAUUAAAUCUGCUUUUAUUAUAUGUGAGCAAUACAAGUUUGUUUAGCUGCAAGAUUUCCAUGUUCAGCAUCUAUAUUUUAGCCUGUACAGAAAAGUAGUCAUCAUACAUCACUUUUCUAUCCAAAUUUUUCCACUGUGUGGAUGCAACAAAAGUCAGAGAACUUUUCUUCUGAUAUUUAAUGAAAUAGUAAAACUGCUACUUGCUCCGUCAUUCAAGUAUUUUGCCCAAGCCAAGCACAAAAUUCCCACAUGCAUGUAUUGAAAUAUAUAUAAUCGAGUCCAACUACACUGUAUCCUAUUUUAUCUUACCAUGAAGAAGCUGAUGCGAAAUCCACAAAACACCAUCAAUGAGCACACUAGGCAUCAUGGGCGAUUGAAAAAAGAAGUAGGAGUAUUUGUUUCAGGCGGGGAGAGAGAUUCCAUGCAGACCAGAGUUAUAUACUAAGAUUUUUGCCAGUUUGUCGUCAUUGAAAACAGUACUGCAACUGGUUAAACUUACUUCUUGAGGAUGUGAAAGUAAAAUACUUCUUGUAGAAAAAGCACCAAAUUAUUUGCCGAAAGAAUAAAAAACUUCCUUGUCACUAGUCUACCUCUAUUUAUUUUAUUUGACCCGAAGAUAAUCCACCACCGUUUGACAGACAGUAACAUAAAUCACAGCCGGAGAAGAUUCAAUAAAAGGAUCCGUACGACGUCUUUUUUUUUUGUUUAAUUAUAUAUUUUCUUCAAUUGUCGUUAUCAUAUCAUAUGGAACAUGCGGCAUCUCCAACGUGGGGGAUUCCCAGUUUCCAACAUCAACAUCAAAAGAUUGACGAUCAAGUCAUCAUCGACUAACGAAAGGAGAAAAAAAAAACGAAGAAAUUUAGGACUAGUAGUAAUAGUUGUAGGGAUCAGGAAAAACAUACCCGUGACAAAACAAAUGACAGGUCGUCGAAGGACCUAAGGAAGAAAGCCGGACUUCCUAACCCUGAGUUUCCUGUGCAAGUUAUACUGCUAACAUUCAAGACACAGAAUCCAAUUGGGCCUUCUUAUCUUAUACUGGGAUUUCGUGAAUGGGAUUCUUUUUUCCCGUGAAUGGGAUUUAAUUGAGGGGUUUGACGCGUUGAAUAUCUGUUAUUUCUCACUUGUACCCGAAUACCGAUCGUCUACUCACUUCCUAUGAAUCUGUCAUCCAUUCAGUCUCCAUACAUCGAGGGGCAUCAAUGGUACUGCACUACAGUCCCAUUGCAAUCCGCAACCCUCAUAGGAAUUCCUCCUUAACCUUCAAUUCUUAAAAGCCAAAAAUUAAGAAGAAAGAAAAAUGUAUGGUUAGUAAAAAGCUAAAUCAAAUAGGAUUUGACCACCAACAUUGUUGGACCUAAUGUUUUGUUUAAGAUCGGAUUCUACCUAGAUUUUUUUUUUUUUUUUGGGUCAGGAUCGAAUUGUGGAAUCCUACAAAAAAAGAUAAAAUAUAUAUAUAUAUGCAUACUAAUAAUUUUUAAAAGUUUGCAAUUCACAUAACCGACAAUAAAUACUCCCUCCCUUUUUUUAUAACUGACGUUUAAGGUUUUGCACACCAAUUAAGAAAAGUUUUUCAUUGUUUAAAUCUAUACACUACUUUCCUUUUGUACCCUCAUUAAAGAAUAUUUUUUUUUUGGUCAGGAUCGAAUUGUGAAAUCGAUGGAUCCUACAAAAAAGGUAAAAAAAAUAUAUAUGUAUAUAUAUAUAUAUUCAUACUAAUAAUUUUUAAAAGUUUGCAAUUCACAUAACCGACAAUAAAUAAUACAAUUCAUGUUCAAUCAAUAUAAUGGCCGCACGAUAAGAACCACCGAUCCUAGCUGUACUUAAUCGUCGUUUAACUGAAUCUCUCGAGAUUAUCUCUAUUUUUGAUUGGGGAUUCCUCACUUGCUGAGAAUUCUGAGAAUGACCAAAUACCCAUUUCCAUAAAUUUCUUCAAUUAUUGAACACAAAAUAGUGGGAGCUCUGAUUUCACCCUAGUUAUUAGUUAGGUUUUUUUUUCCACUUUAUCCCUUGAAACAUUAGUUAACUCUAAUAUUGUGUUGUAUAAUGGUGUUGUCAAAAAGAUAUUUAUGCCCUUAAUUAAUAGUUAAAUGCAAUAAUUCCCCUAACUUAUUUUGCUCUUUAUCUCCAAACAUCAUUUUUUCCUAAUUUGUCUAUUUGUCACCAAAAUCUUUAGUCAACCCCGAUAUUUUAUAAUCCAGGGUAAAUAAUGUAUAAAAAUAUAUUUUCCUAACAUAGUAAUGAAAAUGUUAUAUAUUUACAGAUAUUGUACUAAUUAAAUUGGGAAUGUGCAUAUGGUUGCACUUUUAUUUUAAUAGUUAGAUAUUUUCUUCAUAUUGGAAUAUAAAUUUUUUGUUGUUAAUACUUAAAAAAGAGAGAAACAUUGUUCAUUUGGGCUUUCAAGUUUCGAGGGUCAUUUUUAUAAUAUAGCAUGAUUAGAUGCUAUUAAAAAUUGUUUGGAUUGCUAAAUUUUUCUAAAAAAUUUUUUUUGUCGAGUCAUAAGCACAUUUCUCAAUCAUCUUUUUAUUUUUUUCACAAACAUCAGAUAGCAAAAAGUAUUACAAUAUUUUUUUAAAAAAAUUUUCAAAUAAUCUUCAAUCCAAACAAACCCAAUCUAUAGACCUUUAAUAAUAUUUUUAUAGUUUUUUUCUCACUAAUAAUUUUUCUUUUUCCCCUUAUCAUGCAAAACGAGUUGGGAUAUUACCCUUUAUAUAAAACCUACAAUUAUGGAGAUAACAUUUAACAAAGCCAAUAUCCAUAAAUGUACCAUAAUUUUCAUUGUUAUGUUAGGAAUGCUGAUUUAAAUAUUAUCUAUCUUGAGUGAUUUUAGGGACAAAUAGACAAAAUAACAGAAAAAUGAAAUUAGAGGAUAUUGUAUGUUAAGGGAAUUUAUUGGACUUAACACCUAAGGGCAUAAAUAUCUUUAUAACAUUUUCGUUAUACAAUGUUAAAGUUGACUAAAGGUUUAAGGGAUAAAAUGAGAAAAAAUCAACAUUAAGAGAUAAAGUGAAAAUUUGUUAAAUGUUAAGAGGAGUUUUUGUGAUUAACCAAUUUUUUAUAUUACGACAUUAUUAACCAUUCCACUGAUAUUGAAGCUCGAAACCUUCCGUUUCAUUCAAUAUCACAUGGACAUUAGAGGCAUUCUUUUCUUUUGGUUGCUAUAAUUACUUUUUCGCGGUUGGGACUUCGGGGAUACAAGUAGAACUUGAGCAGAUUUCGUCAAUACAAAACUGUUUUACCAACAUUACCCCCCUAGUAUGUUAUUUGCACUUCCGCUAUCUCAAUUUUAUUUCGAUGAGACUAUACUACCUCUACCCUAAUUUUUUUGCCUUGCCCAUGUGCUAACUAUACUGGAUGCGGUCAUCCAAUUAGGGUAGGAGUAGAAAUCAGGAUAGGAAUAAUACGGUUUCAUCAAAAUAAAAAUGCGACAGUGGGAGUACAAAUAGCAUAAUAGGAGUUUAAAUAACAUUAUCCAAAAAACAAUUGACAAAGAUGAAGCUACCUCAUAAUUCUUGACAAUUAAAUAAUUAAAAGAGUUACGGUCCACUUUCUUUGCCUUAACGAAUUGAGUUCGUGGUUUAUUACGAGUAUUCUUAAAAUCCCCAUCCCAUCAUCAAGAGUCUUUUUCAGAGACUAGGACGUCUUCAAGAUGGUAUAUGAUGCAAUGGUGGUUGUUGAUUUCUCCCAAAAAAUACCAAACCAGUAAAGCCAUUAAAGUAUUCCGUCUCCGUAAGAGAUUAAUCAAUGCCAUAAACUAACAUUUAUGUCAAUUACAUCUAGAUAUUUGGUCAUCAAAUACAAGCCGAUCAAGUGAGAAGUCUUUGUUUGAUGGUCUUCUUUAGUUAGUGUCUUAUUAAAAUUUUAAUAUUACUGCUAACCCCUUCCAUUCACCCUAUUAAGAGCAAGCGACACCAAAUCCUCCACUUUUGCCCUUAGAAUAACCAAAUAAUAACGAGUUAAUGAAUUCUAAAAUCUUUUAUCACAGAAGAUUUAUAUGGGCAGAAGAAGGGAUAGGGACUUCAGAAGGUAGUUCAUGGAGUACGUAGUGUGAUUGGAAUUAAUAUACUAUUGAGUAUGACAAAACAAUCGUUUCUUUGCUUUCCGCGAUAGAGAUUGUAGACGGACAAAAAUGGGUUCUCUCCGGAGUAACUUUUACGCAGUAAAAUGGCAUGAAGUGCAAGCCAAAGGACGUUCACUCAGACUCAGUGCAGGAAUUUAUGUGCAGUAGUCAGCUUUGGACCUUUUGUGAAAUACAUAUGACUCCAAUUAGAAGUAUUGUCAUCAUAAAUCUUUUUUUUUUCAGCUAAAAGCCAGUUAUUUGACUACAGUUAAUUUUAUUUUUUUUUUUGGCAACGAAGGAGUGAAAUUUAAAAUACUUAGAAGAAGAGGGAUUUGAAUUCAAAACCCCUAGCUCGGGAAGUGGUGUUUUUGACCACCACAAUUAACUCUAAUAGAUAUUGCUUGCACAAUUUCCUUUUAGCAGCAAACAUUAAUCAUCACAUAUUCACAUGACCAAGUUGGUUCGUGCAGGAGUCACUAUUCCGAUCGAGUUGCAAAUAAGUGACAGCCCUUUGGCGACGCGCGCAUGUAACUUACUUUAUAAACCCUUUUGCACAAGUCAUGUAUUAGUGGGUAUCAACUCAACGUUGUUAAUCUCCUAUGAUCAAUAACACUAGGAAUCAUCACUGCGUUUGUUUAACUUUCUGGUCAAACGAUUUUUAAAAGUUGCUUAACAAACUUUUGCUUACUUUUUUCCUAGUUUAACAGCCAGACCAACCACCUAGCUUUCAUGCUAGUUGGUUAACUGUAAUUGAAAAAUGGGGAUUUGGUGAUUGAUUGUUGGAUCAAGUGGUGGAUUAGUUUCUUUCCAGAAAGCCCAACUUUAAAUGUCGAUGAUGGUUUAGGAAAAAAGAGGAAGCUUUUUAACUAAAACUACAUUUCAAGAACUAAAAACUUUCACCAAAAAAAGAAAGAAAGUUGCUGUAAGUUGUAAUGUAUUCGAAUUUCACUAUCGAAGCUAUGUCGAUGAUCCCUUUUUGUGUAAUGACUAAGAUAUUUGUUUUCUAGCCAAAUUUUAUGUACAAAGCAAAUGAGAAAUCAGGCUGCAAAUCUUUCGGUUAAGAAAGCAAACCCAUGAAAAGCUACCAUCCCUUAACUGCUUUGAGGUAAGGCAAACAGCAAAGGGUUUAAGCCACAAAAACACAAACCUCCAAAGAUGCUCUAAUCAAACAACCUUUGAAAAAUUUUGGGAAAUACCAGUAUCGUGCAUGAGGAUUGUCUCCUAUGUUUCCCUACAGGAUUCUAUACUAGUUACUCGUUCAGAACUCAAGUACCCUCAUCAUAUGUCCAAUGCCUUUUCUGCCGAAUUUUGGUCUAUCAUCAAUAGGACACCGAUUAACUAGAAAAGAAAAUGGUUUAUUGCAGGAAAAUCACUAUAUUCUUCGGUUAUGUAAGCUUGAGUCCUUCGAGUUACUUAAUUAUUUCUUUAUGUGAUUAGGAUUAGUAGUAUUUCACUUUAAUUUGUCCUGUAAGAGUAAUGGAUUUGUCACGCUUAAUUUGUAUCAUUAUUUUAAUUAGUAAGAAUUUAGUGAUUAAUCCUCAUUCUUUACAUGCAUAUAUGCUUGUAGUUUGCUGUAUUUCAUAUCAGAUGGGGCCAUAACUAAUUAUGUGAUGACUUGAUCACUAGCUGUUACGAUUCAGUAGAUAAUAUGCCCUUUUGAAUAUUGAAGGAAAGGGGUUUUUGUUAAAGCCUAAGAGAACUGUUUGAUUUUCUGCAGCAAUACAAUACACCGGCCGGGUUAAAAAUAAUAAUAACAACACCACAGCAAAAUGAGAAUUAGUUGGCACUGCUUCAAUUCUUUCCCUAUGUCAUCCACAUGACUCCUUACGUACGUAGAAAAGCAGUGCCAUGUUUGGUCACGUUAGCUAGGAUUUGUUGUAAUAAAACCACUAUUUGUUAGGCCAACCUGACUCUUAAUUAUAACCAGCAGCUUUGGUAGAUGUUUUGAGAGCUGUAUCCUAGAGUUAGUAGCUUCAAGAUUUAUCCUCCGAUGUACAUCCCUCGUUAACUACUUGGUGUGAAUUACAAGAAAUACAUUCCACCGAAACUCUGACGCCUUGAGUGUAUUUUCCUUCUCAAAAAUCCUUUCUAUAUAGCCCCUGAAGCUAACGACGUACAGCGACGUCGUAGCUAAGAAGCUAGCUUGUUUCUUCAUGUUGAUAGGCCCUCCCUGCCAUCAACCUCAAGUAUUCGGGAUAGAAGAUUCGCCCAAAGAAGUAUGCUUGUUCAUAUUUAUAGCCCUUCUCUGCCAUCAAUCCAAGGGAUUCGAGAAAAUUGACUCAGCUCAUUUCUCACGCACAAACACACAUAACAGAGGGAUGGCGACAUGGUUUCAAGUCGUGGUGCUGAUUGCUUGUUUGCUUCCUUCACUGGUUGAAUGCCGCGUUCGUGAAUACAAAUUCAACGUGAGCAAUGCAUGAAUCACUUUUUUUAUCUCGUAUCAGAAAAAGUGAUACAUAAUUAUUCAAAAAUUAUUUUCUGUGCUUGCAUGGCAAAGUAUUCCAAUUGAGUUUCUUUUUUCGGGCAAAUGCCAUUGCUUAUUAUGCAAUGCCGCAAUAAAAAUUUAGAUAUCCUGCACUUGAUUUAACUUUUUGAUCAGAAAUUAGGAGAGAAAAUGAUAUGGUUGAAACUGAUGGCAAGGGAACCAGGUGGUGAUGGCGAACGCCACAAGACUAUGCUCAACUAAGCCCAUAGUGACAGUGAAUGGGCAGUUUCCGGGUCCGACGAUCUAUGCCAGGGAAGAUGACACCGUUCUCAUCAAGGUUGUCAACCACGUCAAAUACAACCUCUCCAUCCAUUGGUUAGGCCUAUGACCCCACCAUGUAUAUGAUGAUGCUUUCAUUCCAAUUCUCCGUUUCUUCUCUAAAAUGCCACUGAAUUUGGAAAUAAAGUCUAAAAUUCUCUCUGAUUUUCCACCAUUUUCACCCUCUUUUCAUUCAACAUACUCUUCAAUUUUUUUGAAAUCAUUCUUCAAUUGACUCAAUAAUUAACAUGCUCUAAUUGCCCCUGUUGCUAACCAGUCUGAACCACUAAUACCGUAGCACUUAUUUGAUGUGAUGCAUGUGAAAUAAAAAAAAAUAAUUAAAAAUACAUAUUUAUAAUGCAAGCAAAUAAAUUUGUGUCAAUAAUAAAAUUCUGUUAACUAAACACACCGUGUGUUUUGGACUUAUGCGCAGGCAUGGCGUCAGGCAGCUUCGAACGGGAUGGGCCGACGGUCCAGCAUACAUUACGCAAUGUCCAAUUCAGCCAGGGCAAACCUAUGUCUACAACUUCACAAUCACAGGCCAGAGAGGAACGCUUUGGUGGCAUGCUCAUAUCCUAUGGCUUAGGGCCACUCUCCACGGCGCACUUGUCAUCCUUCCAAAGCCCGGCGUACCAUACCCAUUUCCCAGCCCACACGAGGAAACAAUCGUCAUAUUAGGUCAUAUAAAAUGUUUUUCAAAAAAAAAAAAAAAAGAAGAGUUAUUGAUAGUAUUACCAUGCAUCCAUCAUCUUUUAAAAUUUCUAUGCUUUGACUUUGUAGGUGAGUGGUGGAAGUCAGAUGUUGAAUCGGUUAUCAAAGAAGCAUUGAAAUCGGGCUUGGCACCUAAUGUUUCCGAUGCUCACACGAUCAACGGCCAUCCAGGGUCCGUCCCGAAUUGCUUCUCUAAAGGUAGCCAUCGAAUUCCUAACAUGCAUGCAAUUUCAAUCUGUGCAAAUCCCCAGUUUGCGCCUAACAAUUGUGCAUGCUUUCAUGCGCCAUAAUUACUCUUUUUGGUGACACUACUAGUACUAGAUGACUAAAUCCAAUCCUAUAAUACGCUGAAGUCCAAUACAUGAUGUUCUUAAUUAAUUUCAUGUGAUCUUCAUGAACCUCUUUUUUUUUUCUUUUUUGGGGGUAAUAAUACCCAGGAAGGUUCAGAUUGCCGGUGGAUCCAGGCAAGAAAUACAUGCUGAGAAUCAUCAAUGCAGCGCUUAAUGACGAACUUUUCUUCAAGAUUGCUGGUCACAAUCUCACAAUAGUUGAGGUUGAUGCAGCAUAUGUGAAACCAUUCACAACCGACACUAUUCUAAUAGCACCAGGCCAGACCACCAACGCCAUUGUAUCCACCGAUCAGGAAAGUGGCAAGUACUUAAUGGCAGCUUCGCCAUUUAUGGACGCCCCUAUUGCAGUUGAUAACCUUACCGCCACUGCCACAUUACGUUAUUCCGGCACCGUUUCGAGUAUUGCCACCACCUUGACAAGUCUGCCGUCUAAAAAUGCCACCCCUGUGGCUACAAAAUUUAUGGACUCCCUCAGAAGCCUGAACUCGCAAGAAUACCCUGCCCAGGUUCCCUUGGAUAUUGAUCAUUCUCUUCUUUUCACGAUUAGCAUUGGAAUCAACCCUUGCGCUACUUGUGUCAAUGGUAGCCGACUCGCGGCUGAUAUCAAUAAUAUCAGCUUCGUCUUGCCCAAAAUCUCUCUCCUGAAUGCACAUUUCUUUAAUCUAAGCGGAGUAUUCACUGAUGAUUUUCCAGGGAACCCGUUAAUGCCGUAUAAUUAUACGGGCAAGCAGCCUACCAACCUGGGGACUAUGAAAGGAACUAGGCUAUAUAGACUUGCCUACAAUUCCACUGUACAGUUAGUAUUGCAAGAUACUGGGAUGAUUAGCCCUGAAAGCCAUCCAUUUCAUCUGCAUGGUUUCAACUUUUUUGUGGUCGGAAGUGGUAUAGGCAAUUUCAACCCCAACAAGGAUCCGCCUAAUUUCAAUCUUGUUGACCCUGUUGAAAGAAAUACGGUCGGAGUGCCUACUGGUGGCUGGGUUGCCAUCAGAUUCCGAGCUGAUAAUCCGGGUAAUUUCUUGCUAUCAAAAUUUUAAUUUUUUCUUUUUUUUUUUUUGCACAAGUAGUAGAUGUUAUAUUACAUUUAUUACUCGCGAUUAAUGUUAUGAUGCGGAAAUAACGCAUUAGCUUGAGCGAGACAAGACUCGAUAAACCCAAAUUUUGUCGAAUGAUUAGUUGUUCACCUAAUAAUGGACUAAUGCUGCCGGAAAAAGCUAGCAGACAAUUGGUGGAACUUACGUAAUUAAAUGAACUUUGACUCAACAGCUGUUUGCAAGUAAACAAACAUCCUGUUAAAGUUGUGAACUUUGUUCUCCAAUAAAUCCAUAAACACUUCACUAUAGUAUCUGAUCUCUAAUGAAGUUCUUUAACUGAUAAGUGCCAGUGUUAUUAGAUGAUUUUCUGUAACAUCUUCAUGUUCUUGUUGUAGGGGUGUGGUUCUUGCACUGUCACUUGGAAGUUCACACCACAUGGGGACUUAAGAUGGCAUUUGUGGUGGACAAUGGGAGAGAUCCAGAUGAAUCCCUUCUACCACCACCGACAGAUUUACCCAAAUGUUGAGAACUUUCGGAUACUCCAUGUACAUUAUAUAACUUCAAAAAUCAGACAACGGAAGGCUGGACACUCAACAUAUAACAGGGCAGUUCACCCGGUAGAUUUCGUUUUAUAGCUUUCGGCUUGUUGCCAUGAACAAUCAUACAAAGAUAAGGAAAUUACCGUGAUAAACUUUUAUGUUCUGGAAAAGGAUAAAGAAUUAAGAGGGAAUGAAUAGCUGAAGCAACUGUCCCUAAGAUCCUGGGUAGUGUUGGAUUGGAUGAUAAGGUGGGAGAGAUUGUAAGUAAAAAUUCCUAAAUUCAAGAGUUUUCGCUUACAAAAAAAAAAAAUUAAUCGUAAUUGAAGAUUACUGUCCCUAGGAUCUGAUUUGUUUGGUUUCAAUUCCUGGUGCCAAAUGCAAUUGUAAUUUAAAUUGUGAUGUAUCCUUUUGCUACACGUAGUGUCUGAUUCGUCAAGGUGAAGCUUCGGUCCAAACGAAGUUUAUCAUACCAUUCCUUUAUGACGCAGUUGAACCUGGAGUAGAAAUUUGCAGAUAUGGAGAAUUACACUGUCAGUUCCUAAUCCUCCAUCGAAUUUCACCGUGGUCCACUUAUUUUUUCACUUUUCAAGCCAAUUUGCAACAAGUAAACAAUAAGGGGUUUACGUGAAAAUGUGAGACUUUUUGCAAGUAAAAUGCCCCUGAUCUGAUCUCUUUCUUCUACUUUCUGUGCGAGCUUCCUUGAUCUUAAAACAGAAGAAAAUUUGUGGAUACAAGCGUCACGUGACUAAAAAAACUCAAGAUAGCUUAGUGGAUUCAAUCCUCUUUGGUUGGAGUAGAUGGGCAAUUAAACAAAAUGGUUGUCGAUGCAGGAGAAAAAUGGAUCGAAAAUACAACAAAAGCCUAUGCAUUAAUAUUGGAGAGUACAUAUUUCUUCGUGAUUUGUUUGCAAGUAGCAGCAAAGAUAUAAUUUGUAAAAAAUUAGCUUUUCCUCGAGUAAACAGUACUAUUAGAAGGAGGUCCCAUAGGAUAUGUAAAACUUUUUCGUUCUUUUCUUAUUCAACUCUCGUUCAUUUGAUCCGACAAAUGAGAGUUCGAGGGAAUUGGUCGAGGUGCCUUGAGAAAGGUAAUUGAAAUACUGAUCAUCAUAAUGGAGAACUAUUCAGUGAGCAGAUGCCGAAAUCAUAGCUGUUUCAAGCAACGUUUGAACUAAGGGAAAAAAUAUAUAUAUAUAUAUAUAUGAGUGGAAGAUGAAAGGUACCAUUGGCCAACUACAUAAACCCUAAGUCGGAAAAACAGCAACCCAAGUCAUAGAUGAUAGAACCCAAUUCUCCACAAGCCCUUCUUCCUCAAGCUUUGGACUAGUAAUUGUUAACUUUGGCAAGAAUAAUUAUACGAAAUCACAGCUCAUCUUGCUUGCCAGAAAAACUAGAAAUACAGCUCAUAUAUCAAUAAUAAUGCAUGAACUCGAUCGUUCUACUGGUAUUGUUAGGUCAAUCAUUAUUAAUAUAUGGUAGUGCCUAAGUGGCAUAUAUAUAAGUCUAUAAUGCACGUAAAUGUUAGAAGAAUUAAAACUCUGUUUGCUCUUGUAAAAUGAUAAUGUUUAGAAAAUAAAAUGUUUUGGAUAUAAUACUCGGUUGAUUUUUCUCCCAUGGUGGGCGGAAAUAGUACAACAAUGUAUGUAUAUAUGCUAAGCGAUCCCUUAGUCAACUGGUUUCUGUAAAUUACAAGGUACCAUAUAAAAAAUAGAGCUACUCUGUAGAGUGUCAUUUUCGCCCGCAAAUCUGACUAAAACGACAUUGUAGCCAAGAUCCUUUAAAAGUUCAAUCUAACGUAACGCACCAAGUUAAACUACUAGAAUUGAACUAGUAGAAGAAGAAGAUCCACACCCGCACACACGCACAGAGAAAGAGAUGGCACCAUCAUCAUCAUCAUCAUGGCUUCGGCUUCGAGUGUUGGUGCUGGUGGCUUGUUUACUUCCGUCAUUCAUCCAAUGCAAGAUCCGCAUUUACAAGUUCAAUGUAAGUCAUCCAAAUUCUUCUAACUCAGUACAGAAUUGCAAUCCUUGCCCAGAAAUAGAAUGUUGCAUGGAACAUGCAUGAUGCUCUAGCUCCACAUAUCAUCAUCAGGCUCCUAUGUUUAAUUAGAUUCAUCUUAUGAUUUACAUGCAUUUUGUUUUCCAACUCGGGCUUCUAAUUAUACUUUCUUACCCUGAUUCAAAAUGCAUUAUGAGUUCCAUAUAGGCAUCAAUUUGCAUUAAUUAGCUUGCACUAAUGACAAUGCUGGCAGUCCACAGAGGCCAGAAUCAAGGCUGGGCUAACAAAUUGGAUUGUUUAGUACGUAGUAAUUCUCCAAUGCUAUCGCCACUUAGCUUUAAACUGGCAAGUAGUAGUUUGGAAAAUGGAAGAAUCAAAUUAAAUAAGAGAUUAAAAUGCUACGAUAAGGUGUGGUCAGGUGAUGGCGACGAACACUACAAGACUAUGCUCAACUAAGCCUGCAGUUACAGUUAACGGGCUUUUCCCGGGUCCAACAAUCUUUGCCAAUGAAGACGACGACCUACUCGUCAAGGUUGUCAACCAGGUCCAGUACAAUUUGACCAUCCACUGGUUAGUCUGAAACUGUACAAUUUGACAAUCCAUCCUUCUUCUUUUUUUUUUUCUAACUUUUUGCCUAAUUUUUAUUCUGCUGUUCACAAAGAACAGCGAAAUGGAUUUUAUCUACACAAAAAAAAAAAAUUUUGUUUGGAUAGUUGAUGGUGUGCAUUUUUUAUUUCACUUGUGGGCAGGCACGGAAUAAAGCAACUUCGCAGCGGAUGGGCGGACGGGCCGGCAUUCAUAACCCAAUGUCCAAUUCAACCAGGGCAAACUUACGUGUACAACUUCACAAUCACAGACCAGAGAGGAACGCUUUGGUGGCACGCUCAUAUUGGCUGGCUCCGGGCCACCGUCCACGGAGCACUUGUUAUCCUGCCUAAACUUGGCCUGCCCUACCCCUUUCCCCCCCCGGAUAGCGAAGUGGUCAUCAUUUUAGGUCGUACUAAUAUUUAUGCGAAAAUCGCCUUCUUUUAAGCAUUUCUAGUGUACUUUCGAAGCAUUAUUUAUGUCGCUGCUUAGGUCCUCUUCUUAACUGAUUUUGAUUGUAUAAAAAUUAUUUUCAGAAAAUCAGAAUUUUAAAAAAAAAAAUACUAAACUAGAAGCUUCUGAUUUUCAAUUUUUUUUUAUUACGCUAAAAAAAAUCCAAAAUUAGGAUAUGAAAAGCUAUUGAAAACAGAAGGAGGAAGAUUUAGCUGAGAACAAGAACUUAAUGGAUUAUUUAUUUUAUAUGGUUGCUGCAAUUGUGUUUUAUGUGAAAGCUCUGGUUUAAUCAAAUUUCCUCGUUCAAUUCAUAGCUGAAUGGUGGAAGUCAGAUAUCGAGACGCUGAUCAAUAGCGCAAUGAAAGAAGGCCUUCCAUUUCAGGUUUCUGAUGCAUACACAAUCAAUGGCCAAUCAAGGCCUAUCUCAAAUUGCUCUUCAGAAGGUACAAAGCAAAUUUGUUCUGCUACUGUCUCUUCUAUUACCUUGCAAUGAGCUUGAUUGAAUGUUCAGGAUUUGAUCGCCAUGUAUUUUCGCUUCUAAAAAAUUGGACAGGGGGAUUUAGUUUUCCGGUGGAACCAGGCAAGAAAUAUAUGCUGAGGAUCAUCAAUGCUGCACUUAAUGAAGAGCUCUUCUUCAAGAUUGCCGGCCACAGUCUCACGGUUGUUGAGGUUGAUGCAACCUAUGUGAAACCAUUCAAAACAGGCACCAUUUUCAUAACGCCAGGGCAGACCACAAAUGCCAUUUUAGAGGCUGAUCUUGGUACGGGCAACUACUUGAUGGCAGCCUCACCAUUCAUGGCGGAGCCCGUUCCUAUCGACUACACGGCUGCCACUGCCACUGUGCAUUAUUCCGGCACCCAAUCAUCUGCAGCCACCACAUUUACAGACCUUCCACCUAGAAAUGCAACUCCUCUGGCUACAGCAUUCGUCGACUCUCUGAAAAGCCUCAACUCACAAAGAUACCCUGCCAGAGUCCCCUUGACCGUUGAUCAUUCUCUCCUUUUCACAAUGGGCCUAGGCUUCAACCCCUGUGCUACUUGCAUCCGUGGAUCGCGAAUAGCUGCGUACUUCAACAACAUCUCAUUCAUCAGGCCAGAGAUCUCGCUCCUUAAUGCACAUUUCUUUAAUAUCAGCGGUGUCUUCGCUGAUGAUUUUCCGGGGAAUCCGCCAAUCCGGUAUAACUACACCGGCGAACAGCCUAAGAACCUUAGGACAAUGGAAGGUACGAGGCUUUACAGACUCGCCUUUAACUCGACAGUUCAACUGGUCUUGCAAGACACCGCAAUGAUCACCCCGGAAAACCAUCCGAUUCAUUUGCACGGAAUGAACUUCUUCGUCGUGGGAAGAGGUUUGGGGAAUUUCGAUCCAGAAAAGGAUCCCAGCAACUUUAAUCUUGUAGACCCUGUGGAAAGAAACACCGUUGGAGUCCCUUCUGGUGGAUGGGUAGCUGUCAGAUUCAGGGCUGAUAAUCCAGGUAACGUGUUAUUACCAAAUGCAGGACAGCACCCUUGCGGCAAAUUUUUUACUAAUCGCAUUAAUUUGGUACAUUCUUUUUUUUUUUUUUUUGGCUGCUGCAAAUCAGCAUUACUGAGAUAAAUUUAACUAUUAACCGAUUUGAUCCUCAAAAAAUAAUUUUUUGUUUAAAUCAAGAUUCUGAUUGUUCUUUUGCAGGAGUUUGGUUCAUGCAUUGCCAUCUAGAAUCACACACACUUGUGGGACUUGAGAUGGCAUUUGUGGUGGACAAUGGGCAAGGACCAAAUCAAUCUGUUCGUCCACCUCCUAGAGAUCUUCCCAGCUGCUGAGAAUUUCCCAAGGCCGAAAAUGCUGUCGCUUGCGCGUUACUUUCUUUUUGGGUUUCCUCCGUUGUAAAGUCAAAGAUGGAGAAGAGAUGGCAGACUAGGCAUGAAAAUAAGGACAUCACACACACCACUUGAUCAAUUCCCGCUGCCAAAUGUGACGGUUCCAUCCAAUGUUUGUGGAAUACGUACAAUAAUGUAUACUACUGAUUGUAAAUUUUUUUUUUUUUUUUUUUUUUUACUCCCCACCUCCUGGAACAAAGAUUAGGCAUAUCAUAAGAUGAACCAUUUUCUGUCUAACUCUGCCGGGCAAUCAUAAGCUGAUAUCCUUCAUACGAACAAGCAUUGCAUAUUUGCAUCCACACACAACGUUGAUAAAUAGUAGUAAACAAAAUCAUCUUUACACCUUAUGCUCCUCAAAGAAAAUAGGUACUCUAGAAAAUAGAUAACAAAACAAUUCAUUUUUCUUUUUGUUCAAGCCUCUUUCACUCCCAGAAUGGUAGAGCCAUCUAACCAACACUCCAGCUCCUUGGUUGUCUUAUCAUCAAGGAAACUAUGGGUACUACCACUUUCUAUAAGUAUACUCAUAGGUCUCCUCCUAAUGUACCUAGGCCUGUCAAUGGGUCGGGUCUAGAUCCGGAUCCGGACCGGAUCCGUGAAAUUAUUGUGGGUAUGGGUAGGGAUUUAAUUCCGUUUUCCGGAUCCGGAUCCGGAUCCGUUUUGUCAAACAAAAAAACAGGUCGGAUACGGAAUAUAGUAUUCCGACCCGUAUUAGACCCGGAUCCGGAUAUAAAUGAAUUAAUAAUUUAAAAAGUAUAUAUUUAUCAAUAUAAUUUGAUUAGGGUGAUGUAUUUUAAUAAAGUUAAUUUGAUUUCUUUUCUUAUUUGGUUUUUUCUUUGCAUUAGUUAGAAAUUAGUUUACAAAUAUUUUUUUUUCUCAUUUUUAUUAGAAAUUAUAAAUUUUGGUAAAUUUGUUCGAGUAGAUCCGGAUCCGGAUCCGGAUCCGGGACCCGCCGGAUCCAGAUCCGGAACAUAGAAUAAAAGACCCGUCGGAUAAACGGGUCGGAUCCGGAUCCGGCAUAGUAAUUCGGGUCCGGGUCCGGGUCCGAAAUAAUGAAUUCCGGCCCGUUGACAGCCCUAAAUGUACCCUAUAAUUCUCAUAGCUUGUGUUGUGCCGUCCUAGUCAAUGCAUGAAUGGAGAUUUCUACAUUACCAUCACCUACUUCCUCCUCAUCCAGCCAGCCACAAAAUAGUUCAGAGUUUUCACCUUCCUCUCCAUGAAUACCUCUAGGGCCUUCUCUCUCAUCCACCAAUAGGAAAUUAAUGUGGGCUUGCUUACAAACAUGUCCAACAAUGUAUGGCCCCUCACAUCUAUAGCAUAACCCCUUAUCCCUUCUGGGUUGGGAUUCAACAGGAAUGAUCCUUUUGAAUUGGCUCAGGUUCUUAUUUGUAGGUUUGGAGGUUUUGGGUUCUGAUUUUUUUAAGCUUGUGUUGGACCAUUUUUGGUUAUGGAAAGGCUUAUUAAAGGUCCUGGCAUUAGAGGAUGAAUAGCAUCUCUAGGGAAUGGGUUUUUGGCUUUUGUUUAUGGCUAAUAAGGUUUUUUCCUGCAAUUUUACAACCUUCAUAACCUGUGUCAAAUUCUGUUGCUCCACCAUGCUCUUAAUUUCUUCUUUCGAUCCUCUCAUAAACAUUGACAUAUAAUAGGAUUUGGACAUAGGAGGUAAAGAAGGCAUUACCAAUGCUUUCAAUAGUUCAAAUCUCUCUUGAUAUUCAGGGAUUGAACCUGUCUGUGUGAUCUUAGAGAAUUCUUCAAUAGCCUUUUCUAGAGAUCCAUCACCAAAAAGUUUACAAACCUCCAAAGGGAACUCAUUCCAAGGUAUGUAAUCUCUCCCCAUAAAAUUGCCCUGGAACCAAAUAUCUGCUCUUCCUUUUGAGUACAACUCUGCCAUGCCUGUUUUUAGCCCUUCUUCAAUGCCAUGCAUAAGAAAAUAUGCCCCUACCUUUCUCACCGCACUCUCUAGGAUUAUCCCCAUCAAAGGUAGGGAAAUCAAUUUUGGUAAUUUCGAACUAAUCUUCCCCUCAUUCCUCACUUGAUUACUCCUACGUGUUUCUUCUCUUUUCCCUUCUAUGGCCACCAGAUACUCUUCUCCAGUAGUACUACUACUGUCGAUCCCCUUCCUUUUGCUUAGUUGGAUUAAAGUUGUACUCAUUUUAGCUACCAUGUUCAUUAGAUAAUCAUAUUUUGCAUCUAAACUUUUCAAGGUUUUCUUAGUACUCUCCAGCUUACUCUCAAUUCCCUUUAUAGCCUAAUCCAACCCAUCACUCCUAUGGGCAACCCUCAUUACUGCACUUCCCAAAUCUAGAGUAUGCCUUUUUGAUGAUUCUUUAGCAGCCUUAGACAUUCCUCUCUUUGCUCGCAGCUAGCUCUACUGUAAUGGUACAUACUAAAGCAAUGGUAAUUUUAGAAACAAUUUUCCAAAUAAAUUAGUGUAGCAGUCAAAUGGGUAAAUUGGAAGCUCAAAUUCUCAUUAAUUAACUCAAAUAUUAUGGAGAAACAGAUAUUUGUGUGAGAUCAGAGGGUGAAGAAUGUUGUGAAGGAAACUUGGGGGAAAAGGAAGAAGGAAUUCACUAAACUAAAAGCAAAUUCAAUCUUGACAAAAGAAGCAAACUUGUAUUUGAAUGAAAUCGUGAGUUCGCAGGCUCUAUUUAAUCCUAAGGCUUUCAAUAGAAACAAAAUACUACUCCGAAUGGCUUGGUCCGAUUGGACAGGAAAUGAGGAGAAUGGAACUUGGAGAUCCAUUACAAGCUGCUUGAGGAAUUGGGCCAAGAUGGUCCACUGAAGCGUUGCUAGCUAGAGCGACCCAUUUCUAAAUGUUCUGUGUUCCAUGCAAUCUACAGAUCAUGGGCCUGCAUUGCAGACCGACCCAUGUCUAAUCUUUCUACUAUUUUUAACUGGACAUGUCUUUGACCAGGCUUGGUUGACAAAUAAGCAGGCUCGAGUCGAAUGGUCUCAAAAAAUAAUGAUGAGACUCUUGAUUGUGAUACAAUGAAAAGUGAGCGCAGCACACUUUUAACAACAAAUUAGCUAUUAACAAAUUCAAUUAAGACUAAAUUUUUUUUUUAAUAAAUAAAAAAGAACAAGCCAGGACCACCCCCCCCCCAGAUAUAAGAUAUAAUAAGAGUGAUAGAAACUAGUCCCACAUUGGCUCACCAAAUCAAGCUUUCUUUCAGAGUCCAAGGAAUUGGACGGCUGCCAUCUGUUGAGUUUGCAUAAGCCCAAAUGUCCAAUCGAAAACGAUAAUGAUGGCAGCAUUUCUUUAAUCUGCACUUUACGCGGAUUAAUCAAACCCCGAAGCGAAGUAAUCCAUAAUUCAUACUGUACUAAUUUUUAGAUUAGUCAAGACGAUGAAUUAGACAGGGUCCUUGAUGGGAAGGAAGCUAAUAAUAAAUACAUGGUGGGUGAACAAAAGGAUCGGUCUUUUGAUUGGAAUGGAAGGGGAAAAGCGAGCGGAACAGUAAAAAUUGAUUAACUAAAGUCGCAGAGGGAGGAAUUUAGGAGUUGGGAAAGACCUCGUGACUGCAAGUGAUUGAAGGCUGCACGCUUGCGCACAUGACACGAAUGAGAGAUGCACACGCUUUCCGAGUAGUGCUGCUGCUACCUUCGAGUCCUUCUGUCACAUGGCCGGACUAUUUUGACUUUUGGGAUUGGGAGAACAGAGAAAAAGAAUCUUUCCUUUAAUGGAAACAAAUUAGUUGCGGUGGCGUUGCCAACCCACUUUCUACUAUUUAUUGGGACAGUAGUAUUCUACUCGACUCUACUCUAAGAGUACUAUCCCCUCUCUUUCUUCAUUUAUUAUUAUUUUUUUUAUUUUUUUUUACCGAGUCUGCAGUCACCAUCAGCUCCAACAAACAAGACAGAUGGCAAUCAUCUUAGGUUUAUAUUUUUCCUUGUAAGUUGCAAUCAUCUUAUAGUUUUUUUUUGUAAAAUCUUUGUCCUUUUUUGUUGGAGAGUUGUAUAAUGAUUUUAAGAAACGAGACAGAUAGCAACAUUUGAAUCCGUGGUCUCUAAUUUCAAAAUGUUUUUAGAUAGUAGAUUAUUUAGGAUAAUUUUUUUUUUAUAAAAAAAAUAAUAUAACAGUUUUUUUAUAUGAUGUAUGUGAGAUAAAAAUGUGGUUAGAAAAUAUGUUAAUAAUGCAAACAAAUAAAAUUUUCUAAAUAAACUACAAUACAAACAAUGAGCCGGUAAAUCAUUUUAUAGUUAUUUAGACAAAUAUUUAAACUCGAUUCUCAUAUGCACUUUGAUAUUUCUAUAGAUAAUUAAAUUGGGGAAAGCUUUUUCCAAAGUUUAAAUUUUUUUUUUUUUUGGAAAACAAAAUAUUAUUGCGAUGCCGGCUAAUAGGCUAACACUUCUAAAGCUUGUUUUUUGAAGGAUAAAAGUAAUUUUAAUGUACUUUGUAAGCACCCGUCCUUGAAUUUAGGGGUAGAGCUUUUGACAUAAGUUCAAAAUGAGUGCUUUCAAAACAACUUUCUCGUUUCAAAAAAUAAAAAUUAAUUAUGAAACUUGAACUAAAUGGAGAAAUAAAUAUAUUUUAGAAAUUAAAUUCAAAAAUACACAUUAUUAAAUAGGAAAAUUACUUAUACAAGUAUGCAUAAUUAAACAAUUAAUAAGUACUUUGACCAUAAGUUUUAGUAAUUGAAAUACUUUUUAAUAAGCCAUGACCAACCCCCCAGUAUACUCGAAAUAUUUACGUAUCCAGGUUAUAACAUUUGGUUGCAUCACUCGUAGCACUUGCAGCAUUCAACCCUUUUUUUUUUUUAUUUUUUACAAGCGGCCAACCAGUCAGUGCAUUGCAUCUGGCUAGUAGAACCAGCUUGCUUUGUCGGCUUACGAAUUGAAAAUACGGGGCACUUGUUUUGAUUGUUCCAUUGUCUCCCGUGCCUUGUAUAAGGACAACAACAACCGAUAAGUAAUAAACGAGAUAGUUUUAUACCGGUAAAAGAGCAAAGAGAAUAUUUUGUUUACAUCUUCUUCAGUUUUUUCCUCAACAGUAGGUCCUGAGACGCAUGGCCUUGCGUUCAUUCGGCUGCUGGUGUACGCAAAAUUUUCUAAAUUCUAAGCUUAUAAUAGUAAUAUCUUACUCCAUUAGAUUAUAUAGAUAGAUAGUCAUAUACUAAUAGUAUUUUUUUUUUCAUUCAUCACUUAUCUACUUUAAUCCUACUCCAGUCUAAUUUAAUUGAGAUCCAACUACGUCUACAGAAAAAUCGAUAAGAACUGAAUCAUUAUCGGACCAGACAAGUGCAAUACUCACUUGUAUGAAUUUAAGAAAACUGCAUAUUGUGACGAACGACGGGAGUCAGAGUUUUAACCUUCGAUCUCCCACCCUACCAAGAUUUAAAAUUCUUUGACAACCCACAUACACUAAUGUAAUGGCUCCACUAAAUUGGCAACUCUCUCUCUCUCUCUCUCUUUCUUUUUGGUAUCAUCUUCUUGGCUUGGGGUUUCAGUUUUGCUUUUAGCACCCGUACU